AGGAAAGGUGGAAGACGCUGAUGUGGGAUCAUCCCGAUGCUCAGGCUAUUCUUCAACCUCAUCUAAAAAAAAAGGGAUACCCUAGAGGUUAAUGAGUUUAAUUGAUAUAUGAUUGCUUCACUUCUUAAAAGUCGUUGCAAAGAUGUAGCUUUUCUGUCUAUAUAGUCAUGCAGCUCUCAUAGUGGCCUUUUGCAGAACUUUUCGCCAAGGGAAUGGUUCUCCUGUGACUCUGCUCUUGAAGAAAGCCUUGUUGCUCAACCGUGCUUUCCUGCAAACUCGACUCAGGUUGCCAUAUGAAUUGACCUUUUCUGUGUGGCCAUGCUUUGUCUAUUUUGAAUGCGAUCACAUGUUUUAUUGACUACUAGAAAUAAGUGAAUCUGGUCGAUAUUUCAGGUUAGUCAAAAAGCAACGGAUCUGAAGAUUUGGGAAGCCAAGGGAAUAGCAAAGCCUGUUUCCUAUCUUGUCUUAUAACUGAAAGGACAAGUUAUUAUUAUGGAUUUAUCUCCUUGGGAUAUUAGCCUUCUAAGAAAAGAGGGAAUUUUGUGCAGCACUACCUUUAAUCUGUUUUUGUUUAGAAAGGAUUUCAAAUAUGAUAUUGCUUUAACUUGUCGAUCGAAAAUAUUGUGUCAAAUACGCUGCUUCCCUCUGUUGGAUCAGAGCAACAUGACCCCGAUUAAACUUGUUUCGACAUUAAACUAUCGGGUAUAGAAUACUUGAUCUGCUUAGUAGUUGUAUCAUAUCUGGAAACGUAGGCUGGGAAGUUUUCUCUUCACCCGUUGUCAUACUUUGAGUUAGAAAUGUAAAAAGACGAAGAAGAAAGAAUUGCAUAGUUAUCGCCCCUCUUUAAAUGCCUCAAAGUUGUGGAUAGAUGGAGAAACCUACAGCUUCAGCUCAAGUUACCAAAAAUUAGAGCAGUAACCACUAGCAAGUCAAUGGAAAAAGGGCCAGCUUAUAGGACGUGGCACUUUUGAAAGUGUUUACAUUGCAAGCAACCAGUAAGUUAGCUCUGGGAAUCUUAGACACGUUCCAUUUUUUAAGAUAUCCAGUCAGCUAAACUUUGACAUAUUAAGUGACAGAAAAACCGGAUCUCUAUGUGCACGGAAGGAGUUUGAGCUAUCGCCUAAUGAUCCAAAUUUAGCUGAGUGCAUCAAGCAGUUAAAGCAGGUAAUGUUUUUGUUAUGCUCUGGGAUCCAAUCUAUUCUCUCAUCUGAUCUAAAUAUGCUGGGAGGAAACUUUCUUUCAUCAUUUCCAGGUAAUUGAUUGUUACUACAGGAAAUUCAGGUACUUAGCCAGCAUAGACAUCCGAACAUUCUGCAGUAUUAUGUCAGGGAAAUUGUGAGUCACAUUUCCACAGCACCUAUGCAUCCCAGCUCAAUGGGCGUUCAUUAUUUGACUCGCCAAAAUUUCAACAUAUUCAUACGUACUCAGGUUGAGGAUUGGCUUUACGUAUAUCUAGAAUAUGCACAUCACGAUUCAAUAGACAAGUAUAUCCAAGAGCGUCUUGGGACCCUAACAGACUCGGUUGUCCACACUUUACCCACUAUAUUGUGGCUGGAUUGGCUUCCCUGCAUGUUAACAACUCCAUACAUGGGUAAUUCUAAACCAUUGAUCAAGCAUCAUGAGAUGGCUUGUGCAGGGAUUUAAAGGGAGCUAAUUUAUUUGUGGAUGCAUCUGGGAUAUUCAAACUUGCUGACUUUGGAAUUGCUAAACAUGUGAGUUUUUACCUCUUCACUGCAAGACAACUCAGUGCAUGUAGAAAUUACUUGAUGAUCUGUGGUGCAUUCGAAUGUGAAGUCAGGGACCCAGGGUGACUGCGAACUUCUCAUUAUUGGUUUGUGGCAUUUCAUAUGUGCAAAAAUCUAUCACAGGUGGAUGAAAUGUUAUUAAGUAAUUUUCUUCACUUUUUUUCCCAUUGUUUCAGGUAAAGUUACCAUGUUGCAUAAACAGGAAAAGAUUUCUUGCUUUAAAUAGAUGCCGAAACCUAAUGAGAGUUCUUUCCCUUUCUACUGGUUUCUAAAAAGUUCCUAAGAGCAGUAGUGAAUAGAACGCAAUACCUUUGGCAAAAGGUUGUGGUGUUGUUUUUGCUGCUCCUCUGCAUUCCAAAAUAGGAUAGAAUUUAGUCAGAGUAAGCAAGGGCCUCCUUCCUAACAUGGGGUAAAUAAAAGUGUAUUGAUCCAUAGAAUGGAAUUCUGGAUAGUAGCCAAGGUGUUGUUGCUCUCUUUUUGAGUUCUCAAGCAUUUGCUGAGGUCAUGUUGUUGAUUGCUUCAAGUUGAAAGUGGUUGAUUCAGUAAUCAAUCUGAUGUAUCUAUGUCUAUAAAGAUGUUGCUAUUUUAUCCAGUGUUCCAUGAACACACCAAGUAGUCUUCAGCUUUACUAAUGCUGUACCAUUUCUUAGCUAACCGGACAAGCAGCUUGCUGCUCUUUGAAGGGAAGUCUAAACUGGAUGGCUCUAGAGGUACUCUGCUUUUGUUAACGUUAAUGCGGCAUUCUUUUUUAGUUGUGGCGGAAUGAUGGAAUAAUAUGUCUUGCAACUCAUACAAUCCUUGAUGGUGAAUAAUUACAGCACGGAUCUCAAUCAUACUGCCGACAUGUGGAGUUUGGGAUGUACUAUUACCGAAAUGAUUACUGGGAAACCUCCUUGGACUAUGAGUGAGUAAGUACGCUGCACUGUUUUUUUUUUUUUUCAUUUUCUCUCUAUCCUUCCUGGUAAUACGCUUCCAAGCAAAUCUGUGUUGUCGUUUUCUGUUGGAAGUUCGGGCCAUGCGCAUUACCAUUUGGUGUGUGAUCUGUGUCAUGAGUUUCUAUUUAAGGUUGAAUUAUUAAUGCAGGCUCAAGCUAUAUUUAAGGUGAUGCGAAGUUCUCCAGUAAUACCUGAGACGUUAUCUGCCGAGGGAAAGUAGCUGCGGAGAGGCCUUCUGCUGCUAUGCUACUUGAGCAUGCUUUCCUGCAAAUUUGAAGUUGCAAAUGAUUGACUUAUUUCAAGUGUUGUACGUUGUCGCAAAAGGGAUUUGUUGUCCUGUAAAGUUCCAUAUUUACUAAACCAAAAGGAUCACACGGUCCAUAGAUGUGAUGAAGUACUUGUAUAUUGACAAAAUAAGGCACAUACUUCUCUUGCAUGGUCUGACUGGCGGCAUACCAAUCUAGGCAAUUUGACAGUGUUGCUUAAUCUAAACCUUUUACUGCAUAGUGCAUUCUUACCAAAAACAUUUUGUACGAAGUACAUUUAUUCAUCAAAAUGGAAUGGUAUUGAUUUGGCUCCAAAUAAGCAAUAGGUCACGAAACACAAGCAAGAAAACCCAGAAAAGAAAAAAGAAAAAGAAAACCGAAGCUAUAGUGCAUCAGAAUUCCUAAACUCAUUUUGAAAGUAAAUACUUUGUCGGUUUGGUGGGAGAAACAUUGGCAAGUUUGGCAAACCUGCAAUGUCUUCGGAUUGCGGUAGUGAAGGGAGUAGUAUCGAAAUUAUGGGCAUUGGAGGCUCUUGAUUCUUCCCUUCAACAGUGUCGUUGAUCUCAAUAAAUACAUGAGAUUUCUCCAACCAAAAUGGCCCUCAUCAUAUUGUCACCAAAUUCCAGUGAAUCAAGAAAAGCCAUUGUGGUCUGCUUGCAAAUGUAAAUGAUCAUGAUGAUCCAAGAUUUGCAGCUUCCGAGAGGGGAAUUCACGUCGAUUGUUGCGAUUAUGCUCUUGUCAGGGCAGUAGGGGAAAGUCUUUCGCCUGAUGGUUUUGCUCCCAAGUGAUGCUGCAAGUUUGCCGUAUUUUCCCCUUAGGGUUGUUUGUCAUUUUGUGGAACAUUUUUAGAAUAAUUUUGCAUCCCGUGUCUAUAAAAUGCAAAUAGCCGAUGAAAUCUAUUGAAAACAUCUCAAGCUAUUCAUUUACGAGAUUUUAAUGGUUCUUAUAUGUAUAUAAUUUACCUUCCCUUACUUGUUCAAAUUUUUAGGUUGGACUUUCACUUAUGUGAAAAUAGCAAUUUGUGCGUGAAUUGCAAAGCAAACAUACUUCCUUUUUUUCUAUUUUUUUUCUACAAUUAAAGUGAUUCCUCUAUCCUAAUGCAUACCGGAAAUAUAUGAUAUGAAUGACAAAGUGUAACAGAAAAAUAAACUCCUCGAAAUUUUGCAAAGUCGGAGGCGCCACUGAGGCCGAGCGAUAUCUCUCGGUUGCAUUGGAUUCUUUCUUCGAUUUCAUUUUCUUUUGUUCUUUUCCUCAUUUUUGAACCAACAGCCUAACCAUGAGGCGCCUUUUCUCUUCUGUCCCUUAUCUGUACUCCUUUUCUUUCGUACAACUCGUUCUUCUUUCGCUGCUUUUUGGAUUUUUUUUUCUUGGUGUCCUCUGCCCAAACCCUUAAUGAAGACAACUAAUCGGUGUUUAGUUUUCCAAAGUGUAGCAUUAUUGAGCACCAUCAUCGACCAUCAAGUUCGCUAAACUCAGUCAUCAAUUAACUAACUGUUCUUGUUAAACAGGAGCUGCACCAACGNNNNNNNNNNNNNNNNNNNNNNNNNNNNNNNNNNNNNNNNNNNNNNNNNNNNNNNNNNNNNNNNNNNNNNNNNNNNNNNNNNNNNNNNNNNNNNNNNNNNAGAUCCAAACUACAUAUGAAACUGGACUCGUAAUUGGGAAAACAUGAAUUUAGCAUAUUAUACAUUGCUCCUAAAUAAUUUUAUGCACAUGCCAAAUAACAAGUACAUGUAUAAGUUAAGGCAAAUAGGUCUUUAGCAAAUUGACAAUGCAGAAACCGAGAGAGCGUAUGAAGUGAUCUUUGCAUUUUUGAAACUCUGUUAGUGUACAUUCUAGUAGUUUUCCCUUGUCAAAAUAUACUGAUUUUCAACUUUCGCUGAAAUGUCACACGUUCAAUUGGGGGAGAAUAUGAUCGAUAGUCCUAAUUAGCCAAGUCACAAAACCAAUCAUAUAUUUAAAUAGUUCAGAAAUCUUUCUGUUCAUUCUAAUUAAUAAUCGCAUCAAAGAAUUUUUCCCUAAACCUUUAUAUUCAGUCAUAGUUACUACUUUUCAGUUCACUCUUUGAAAGAUUCCCAUGAUCUCUUCAAAUAAAUUAAAAUACAAUUCAGGGUUAGUGGUCGUAACUUUAUCUAUUAGGUAUAUAGCUUAAUGCUCAUUUUGAAUGAGGGCAAAAGGUCACCCCGUUUACAUUCACGUGUUUGUCACAUUGUGAUGGGAAAAUGGGAACGAAAUGCAAGUUCAGAGGCACAGGAUGCAACUUUCUAAAUUUCCAUUUUCAAAUGCAUUGGGUUCCCUUUUCCCCAGUCAUCUCUUCUUAAUCAUCCCGGUGCAAGGACAGGACUUUCCCUGGACAGUGAUGCACAACAAGCCAUUAUCAUUGUACUGAAGUGAAUCUGUUUCCUUUGAUCGUGGACGAUUCUAUGCUCCCGAAAUCGGGGUAAUAUAUGAUGGGGUGCGCUCUAUUUGCUUGCAGGUUCGUAACAAAGAGGAUAUAGCUUGGAAAUUCGUCAAUAGAUUGGAGGACAGCAAAUGGCGUUGUUAUUACUGCCGUGGAGAAUUCUUUAAAGACCUUACAGGAGUGAAAGGUCACUUGCUUGGAGUCCCAAAUGAAGGGAUUUCCAUUUGCACACAAGUGCCGGACCAUGUAAGAAAGAUAAUGCAGUCGUUACAAGAUGAGAUGGCUGAAGAAGAGAGCAGGGGAGCCAAUGGUCAAUCCUCCGCGGAACCACAGUCACGUGGCAUGCCCGCUCAAGCUGAGGUGGCUGAAGAAGAGAGCAGAGAGGCCAACGGUCAAUCCUUCACAGAACCACAGUCACGGGGCAUGCUGCCUCAACCUGAGGUGGCUGAAGAAGAGAGCAGAGAAGCCAACAUUCAAUCCUCCACGGAAACACAAUCCCGCGACAUGCCCACUCAAGCUGAGGUGGUGGCUGAAGAAGAGAGCAGAGAAGCCAACGGUCAAUUUUCCAGGGUCUGUUGAAUAUUAAUCUGCAGUUUUGCUUUCCUGCUUUACUACUUGUGGAUGCUAUUAUUUGCUUGAGAAUAAUGCUAUGCGCAUUAGGAAAAUGUACACAAGAUUGAUAGGUUAUAUAAUCGGGCGUGCUCUCUUUGCCUGCAUGUUGAUAAUCAAAAUGACAAGAUGCCGCGAGUUAAAGAUGCCGUGAGUUAAAGAAAUAGCCUGGAAAUUCGUGAUUAGACUGGAGGGCGAGAAAUGGUGUUGUCCUUACUCUGGAAAAGUUACAAGAGUGAAAAGUCACUUUCUUAAACAUUCAAACAGAGGCAUUUCUCCUUGUAAAAAAGUGCCGGAGCACAUAAGCAUGCUAAUGGAUUGGUUACACAAUCAGGUGCCUUUAAUGCUUGUGGUAGCUACAUUGUUUGCCUGAGAAUGAUGCUAGCGUGCUAAGAAGAUUUAUGAAAAAUGGGGAUAAUAUAUGAUGGGGUGUCGCUCUAUUUGCUUGCAGGAUCGUAACAAAGAGGAUAUAGCCUGGAAAUUUGUUGAUAGACUGGAGGACAACAAAUGGCGUUGUCAUUACUGCCGUGUAGAAUUCUUUGGAGACCUUAUGGGAGUGAAAGGUCACUUGCUUGAAGGGAUUUCCAUUUGCACGGAAGUGCCGGACCACAUAAGAAAGCUAAUGCGGUCAUUACUCGAUGAGGUGGCUGAAGAAGAGAGCAGAGAAGCCCACGGUCAAUCCUCCGUCGAACCAAAUUCCCGUGACAUGCCGAGUCAAGUUGAGGUGGCUGAAGAAGAGAUUAGAGAGGCCAACCGUCAAUUUUCCACGGAACCACAGUCGCGUGACAUGCUGUCUCCAGCUGUUCCUCGGUCAUCACAAAGCUUGGAAGAUACAGAAAACUUAUUCACAACAACAGAGUGGGCGACUGACUUGGAAAACUUAGACUAUGACCUAGAGCGUCAUUUUCUUGAGACUUUGGCAAUGCCGCCACCGGCGCAAAAUAUUCAUGGUAUGUUCAUGUGAAGUUUCUAUACAUGCAUCUAGGCAUGGAGAAAAAACAUAUAUUAUAUUCAAACACGUCGGGUUUUUUAACCAAAGUGGAGACUUUUAAAUAUCUUCUAUAAAAACGAUCUUCCUAUGGGACUUUCCAAAUGUAAAGAAAGUCAAAUCACCUAUUCCUUAAUAACAGUGCAUUGAAUGUGUUGCACCUGUCCAUUGGACCCAUUGGAUCCAAUAAACUAACUACAGUAGGUAGUCUUUUAUGUUCCAAUCAACUAUAUCCUAAUUUUGAUGAACUUCACGCAGAUGAAAACAUACCAUUUUCAACGAUAGCUUUAGCAGAAGUAGAAUCGGAUCUUCUUGAUCCGCCAUGUCAGCCACAAUAUUCCAAUCGAUCUCUUUAUCGCGAGGAAAUGCAAAUGAAUGACCAGCAGACUCCAGCAGGGGCAUUAUCAUUCCAGUAUGUUCCAUUACCUGCUGUAGGUAAUUCAAAUUGCUUGCAGGACUGCAAUGACUCUCAAUUGCAAACGCCAGUGGACGUAGAUCCCUCAAUUGCAUCACAGCGUACAAAUCACAUUACUGGGGCACAAAUCAAUUAUUUGAAAGUUCCAGAGGCAGCAACAAAUACAACAGGCCCAUCAUCAUCACAGGGUUUGUAUGGAUUAAUCUACAUUGCUACUAUGGUUAUAUUAGAUACUUGAAUAUCUCCAUAUUAUUUUAUUGAAAUCUAACAUAUGAUUUUUUAAACAAGAUAGGAACAUGGAUUAUCCAAUCAAGAACAUGCUGAGCAUCAUUGCAUAUUCUAUUUGUCUGAUAUCAGUUUUUAUCACACCAUUACUUUCUUCAAAAUAUUUAACUCUAAUGCGGUCGUUACUCGAUGAAGUGACUGAAGAAGAGAGCAGAGAGGUGGCUGAAGGACAAAGCAGAGAAGCCAACCGUCAAUCCUCCACGGAACCACAAUCACGUGACAUGCCUGUAAGACAAAAUAAUUUAUAUACAGAAGCCAGGAUCAAUUAAAGACAAACCUCCAGCCAUUGUUUUGUUCACAUUCGUCAGAAAACCUGAAAUCAAAGAAAAUUGGGGACACUCUACUACCCAAUUCACUCUCGUACUGAUGGUGUAUUCUGAAUGAGAGGGUUUGAGUUAGACAUUGUCAUCAUCCGUCAGAAAUGAACGUACGUUCCUAUUUAUACACUGUCUCCCAUCAAGACGGGCGGUUGUCACCAAAUGGUACGAAGCGUGGAAAACUUUAUGUUGAACAGUCGCAACCUUUAGAGAAAAUAAAUGUGGGAUCAUAAAAAUAAAUAACAUUCUCCCACUUGAUCCCAUCAUUUUCAUUAUACAGAUUAUCCAACUAAUUCCACAAAAACUUUAUGCUUAAAGAAAAGAAACAAAACACAUGGAUCAUGGCGACAUGUCCUCUAAGAGUGAGUAAUAUCUUCCAUGUAUCACAAUGCACCUUAUUUCUUUAAUGUCAGCCUAUAUGUGACAACAAAUCUUAAUGAAUAAACCCCAUGUUUAUUCCAAAACCAAUGAUAAAUGUUAUUCUCAUAAACAACAAAAUGUGUACACAAAAAUUGAGAAUCAACAUUACAACUGAAUAAGAGUUUCAUACAACAAAAAUCGUUCAUAUAACGACAAAUUACAUAAUGGGACCUAUUCCCAUACUAGUUACAUGAUCCUUAUACUUCAUUGGUGGCAUGCCUUUAGUUAAAGGAUCGGCUAUCAUCAAUUCAGUGCUAACGUGUUCAAUGACCACUUUAUUCUCCUUAACACGUUCCCUUAUGGUUAAAUACUUAAUGUCGAUAUGCUUACUUUGACUGCCACUUUUGGCAUUUUUAGCCAUAAAAACCGUAGCUGAAUUGUCACAAUAUAUUCUUAAUGGCCUAGAAAUUGAAUCAAUAAUUCUAAGCCCAGCAAUGAAACUCUUCAACCAUACACCAUGCGAGGUAGCCUCAAAACAAGAAACGAACUCAGCCUCCAUAGUGGAAGUAGCAGUCAAAGUCUACUUGGCAUUUCUCCAUGACACGGCUCCGCCAGCUAAUAUAAAAAUGUAUCAAGAUGUUGAUUUUCGUGAAUCAAUGUAUCCCGCAAAGUCCGCAUCCGAAUAACCAACCACUUCCAGGUUGUCAGUCCGUUUAUACAUAAGCAUAUAGUCUUUGGUACCUUGAAGGUAUCUCAUCACUUUCUUUGCAGCUCUCUAGUGGUCUAAACCUGGAUUACUCUGAUAUCUUCCCAACAUUCCCACAGCAAAAGCGAUGUCAGGUCGAGUGCAAACCUGAGCAUACAUUAAGCUUCCAACAACAGAAGCAUAUGGAAUGUUGUGCAUUUGUUCCCUUUCUAGAUCGUUCUUCGGGUAUUGGUUCAAAUUGAACCUGUCACCCUUCACAAUGGGUGCUAUACUUGGUGAACAAUCUUUCAUCCGAAAUCUCUCUAGAACCUUAUUGAUAUAGGUUUCUUGAGAUAGUCCUAAAAUGCCUCGAGGUCCAUCUCUAUGGAUCUUAAUGCCAAUGACAUAAGAUGCCUCACCCAUAUCCUUCAUGUCAAAACUCCUAGAGAGAAAUUGUUUCACCUUAUGUAGCAACCACUUAUCAUUGGUUACAAGUAGUAUAUCAUCCACAUACAGUACAAGGAAACAAAUUUUGCUCACACUGACCUUCUGGUAUAUACAUUGAUCCAUGACAUUCUCUACAAAACCGAAUGAAGAGAUGACUUCAUGGAACCUUAAGUACCAUUGGCGGGAUGCUUGUUUCAAGCCAUAUAUAGAUUUCUUAAGUUUGCACACCAAAUGCUCACCUUUACUAGAGGAGAAUCCUUCAGGUUGUUUCAUGUAAACCUCCUUCUCUAGUUCUCCAUUGAGGAAUGCUGUUUUCACAUCCAUCUGAUGUAAUUCCAUAUCAAAAUGGGCAAUCAAAACCAAAACAAUACGAAGAGAAUCUUUCUUAGAUACAGGAGAAAAAGUCUCCGUGUAGUCGAUUCCUUCCUUUUGAGUGAAUCCUUUGGCAACAAGUCUAGCUUUAUAUCUUUCAAUGUUACCCAAUAAAUCAUUCUUAGUUUUGAAGACCCAUUUACAACCAAUGGCCUUCACACCAUUAGGUAACUCAACCAAAUCUUAAACUUUGUUAGAUGCCAUUGAACUCAUUUAUUCCUUCAUGGCAUUGUACCACAAAUUGGAUUUAUCACUAUCCAUGGCUUGUGAAAACGUUUUGGGAUCAUUCUCAGCUCUAAUAUUGUAGUCAAACUCUUGUAAAUACACAAUAUAAUCACUAGGAAUAGCCGAUUUCUUUAUUCUAGAAGAUCUUCUCAAUUUUGCAUCGACAUUCUCUUGAGGUGCGUGUUGCUUAACUAGUUGUUCAACAGUUUCUGGUAAUUAUUGAACAACUGGAUCUACUAGAUCAAUAUCAACAGGUUGUGGAACUUCAACGAUUGGUUGUUCAAUAGCCGGUUGAACUGAAUAGGCAUUAUAAGCAACGACCAACCCUAAACUUGAGGUGGGAGGAUGAAUGUCUGGAUGAUCUUUCUUAGGAACAAGGUCCUUCGAUUGAUCACUCCCACUAAUCAAGUCAUUUUCAAGAAAUUUAGCAUUUCUUGAUUCCACAAUCCUAGUAGUGUGAGAUGGACAAUAAAAUCUGUAUCCCUUAGACCUUUCGGCAUAUCCAAUGAAAUACCCACUUAUGGUCCUUGGGUCCAACUUCUUUUCUUGUGGAUUAUAAACUCUCACUUCAGACGGGCAUCCCCAAACGCGCACAUGAUGCAAACUCGGUUUCCAACAUUUAAAUAAUUCAAAAGGUGUCUUUGGGACAGCUUUGGUCGAAACUCGGUUUAAUAUGUACACUGCCGUCUUAAGUGCUUCAGUCCACAAAGAUUUAGGAAGUUUGGAGCUGCUAAGCAUGCUACGCACCAUGUCCAAUAAGGUCCGAUUUCUUCUUUCCGCUACGCCAUUUUGGUCCGGAGAACCAGGCAUAGUAUAUUGGGCAACUAUCCCAUGCUCUUGAAGAAACCUUGCAAAUGGACUAGGUGCUUGUCCAUCUUCAGUGUAUCUACCAUAGAAUUCUCCACCCCUAUCUGAUCUCACGAUCUUAAUUUGCUUAUCGCAUUGUUUCUCUACUUUCACCUUAAAUACCUUAAAGGCAUCUAAUGCUUCAUACUUAUUAUGAAUCAAAUAGAGAUACAUGUAACGUGAGUAAUCAUUUAUAAAAGAGAUGAAGUAUUUCUAACCACAAGAGUCCAUAUCCGAACUACAAAUAUCCCUGUGUAUGAUUUCUAAUAUUUCUGUACUCCUCUUGGCACCUUUUUUUGUCUUGUUAGUCUGAUUUCCCUUUAUGCAGUCCACACAAGUAUCACAAUCAGUAAAAUCUAAAGUACCGAGUACUCCAUCAUUUACUAAUCGCUUGACUCUUUCUAUGGAAAUAUGUCCCAAUCUCCGAUGCCACAACAUAGAGGAAUGUUCUUUCACAACACAUCGUUUUAUACCAACUUUAUCAUGAACAUGCAUCGCAUCAUAAUAGGCAUUGUCUUGUAAAUUAAUUCGAAAAAGACCAUCAGACAAAAUACUACUCCCAACAAUUUUAAAUUUAAAUGAUAAACAAAAGUUUGAAUCUGAAAAGUUAAAAAAGUAUCCCAAAGGUACAAGUCUUGAAACUGAAAUUAAGUUUCUAGAAAAACUAGGAACAUAAAAGGUCUUUUCCAAAUUUAAAACAAAACCACUAUUGAGAACUAGUCUAUAUGUCCCAAUAGCUUCUACAUGCGAACGCAUCUUAUUUCCUGAAUAGAUGCUUUGUUCACUUCCCACUGGCUUCCUGUGGUUUUGAAAACCCUACAAGGAAUUCGAAAUAUGGAUUGUAGAUCCAGAAUCAAUCCACCAAGUGUUGUGACUUACAUCAAUCAUAUUAGAUUCAUAACAAACACGAGAUUUGAUUACCUUUCUUCUCAAGCCAAGCCUUAAAUUUGACACAAUCCUUCCUUAUAUGCCCCUUCUGUUUAUAAAACAAGCAUUUGGAUUCUUUCUUAAUGUCAGCUUGGGGAGGUAUUUUACCUUUUCCCUUAUGCUUGCCAUAGCCCUUAUUCUUUCCUUGUAUUGUCAAAUGAGCCACUUUCUCCCAAUUCCAUAACCAGUCUUUCUUCGUCUUGAACACACAUGGUCAUGAGUUCAUUAAUAGACCAUUUAUUCUUAUGUGUGUUAUAAGAGAUCUUGAAAGGUGCGUAUUGUUGUGGGAAAGUGUUCAGAAUAUAAUACACAAGGAAGGAUUCAGAUAUCUCAACCUCAAGGUUCUUAAGCUGAGUUGCAAUGUUCCUCAUUUGCAUGAUGUGCUCACGCACACCUCUAACACUAGUGAGCUUCAAUGAUGAAAACUUCAUAAUCAGGGUCAUGGCAUGCGCCUUCUCAGAACUUUCAAAUUGCGCAUCUAUGGCCUCCAAUAAAGCCUUAGCAUUGCUAUGCUGAGCAACCGAACCACAAAUACUAGGAGAUAUCUGAGCUCUUAUAAACAUAGCACAAACAUGGUUGGACCGCUCCCAUUGGUUAUAAAGAGCUAUCUCAGCUAGAGUGCUCGAAUCAGUAGGAGCAGGUGGUUCGUCUUUCCUUAUAGUAUAGUCAAUGUCCAUCCACCCCAAUUGAAGAAGAACCGACUCCUUCCAAACUUUAUAGUUCUCACCAUUCAGUAUGGGAACAUCAAACUUAAAUUCAGAGAAAUUCACAUGUUGCGAAACUGCAUAUCAAAUAAUCAUACUUAUGUCACAAAAUUUGAGGCAAAUAUGUAUAAAUAAAUCAUAUUUUACCAAUGUAAACAUGUCACAAUAUGAAUCACAUAACAUAAAAACUUCAUGUGGGCUAAGUUUUUAAUUUAAAUAGAUUCAUAAUUACUUCAUGAAGAAACUACCAUAUUAUAUGCAUUUUCUUAAUCCCUAUGGGUAAAUUAAGAAAAAUAAUAUGAUAUUUCAUCCUAAUUAAUCAUAUUAAUAUAAUGAAAAUUCAUGUGGGAUAAAAUUCAUCAUAUUAAUAUAAUUAAUUACAAUCAAUGUCCGUUUUUAAAUAUGAUCCGGAGGCUUUUAAUAUAUAAUUUAAUUAAUUAAAGAUGUUGUGGCCACUCUCUAAUUAAUUAAUUAAUUAUAUUGACCAUUGGACAUUUAAUUUCACGCAUAAAAUAUUCAUAACAAUGCAUGAAAUGACAUAAUAUAUAAAUACAUCAAGGGCAUAACAGUAAAUAAAUAAAUUGGCCAAGGGCAAGAUUGCAAAAAACAAGAAAAUUUGAGGCAAAAGCGUAAAUAGAAGCCGCAUGGAGGAGACGCCAGGCACGCGCCUGUUCCCGCGGCAGGCGCGUGGUCCAUACGCGCGCGGUUCAGCGCGCGUGCGCGUGCAACACACACACCUAGCAACUGCCACGCUCGUGGAUCCCACGCACGCAACGGUUGAGCGCCCGUGAGAGCGCGUGGCGCGUGGAUUCCACGCCCCUGCAACCGCAGUGCGCGCGUAGGCUCCACGUGCCUUCUUCCUCACACGAACAGAAGCUUUUCUUCGCCAUUCCGCCGCGGUUUCGCCGGCUAUUUCUUCUCCGGCCGGCCAUUUCUUCUCCAGCAGCCCAUCUCAGACAGAAAUAAAUAAUGAGUUUUGAAGAGCAUGCCGGAAAAAUCACACGGGUCCAAGUUUCGGUGAAAAUGAGCAAAAAUUGGCCCCAAAAUCAUACGAAAAUUUCCUAAAACACAAUUCCUUCAACCACUGCGACUUCCACCGCCCGAUUAGCCUCCGGCGAUCACCGAUAUGCCGAAAUAACUCAUGACUAAUAUUCCUCAUGGCGGUGCGACCGUGCGGGUCCGAAAUCAUGGGGUGGGUCGCCGGAAUUUGCUUGGAAUUUGGGAGUUUCUCUGUUGGCCUCAAAACUCCGAAUUACUGUUCAUGUUCAAAAUGCCCAAAAAACACACCAAAAAUUCGAGAAAAACAAGGCAGAGGCACUAGACAUGCUCUGAUACCAAAUGUAAGACAAAAUAAUUCAUAUGCAGAAGCCAGGAUCAAUUAAAGACAAACCUCCCGCCAUUGUUUUGUUCACGUUCGUAAAAAAACCUGAAAUCAAAGAAAAUUGAGGACACUCUACUACCCAAUUCACUCUCGUACUGAUGGUGUAUUCUGAAUGAGAGAGUUUGAGUUAGACAUUGUCAUCAUCUGUCAGAAAUGAACGUACUUUCCUAUUUAUACAUUGUCUCCCAUCAAGACUGGCGGUUGUCACCAAAGGGUACGAAGCGUGGAAAACUUUAUGUCGAACAGUCGCAACCUUUAGAGAAAAUAAACGUGGGAUCACAAAAAUAAAUAACAAUGCCCACUCAAGCUGAGGUGGAGGCUGAAGAAGAGAGCAGCGAAGCCAACGAUCAAUUUUCCACGGGGCCUUUACUCUUACCAGGAUUUUUCGAGUAUAUGGAACAGUUAAACUUCAGCCAACAGGUGCAAAAUUGCCAUGGUAUGUCCAUGUAAAGUUUUUAUACAUUCAUCCAGGCGCGAAGAAAGGAAAAAUCAUUAUAUUUUUCAGAUUAGUAACUCUCUCUAUAAUAACUCAAAUUCAUCUGCUUCCCUAUCAUAUCGAUUCCAAAUUACAGUUGUAUCAUUGUAUAUUCUAUAUGUCCCAUAUCGUUAUCUUUUUACCGCAUGGUUUAUUUCAUCAAAAUAUUUACUUAUGAGCAUAUGUUGAUUUUCGCCGUAAAUAUUUGUUUUUUAAUCAAGUUCUAGACAUUCGUUUUACCUGUACCCAUGGCUUGAUUUAAAAGUCCCAUUGUUGAUUUAUUUUACGCUCAACUUUUUUAGUGCAACCAGUUUUGGUGCCCCCUCAACAUCAAAAUGCUCCACAUCAAUCCAAGACAAGGAAUGUGCUUCAGAAUCCAACUGCACAAUCAUCAACAGCUCUAAGGGAUAUGGAUUUACGUAUCCUAUCAUCAUCACAAGCUUCAGAUGUUGCUCCACAGUGGCCGACCGAUGUUUCAAACUUCAACCAACAGGGAUAUCAAUGGGCCAAACUCUGGCCAACAAUCACAAGCAGAGCGUCAGUUUCCUCAGAGUUCAACAAUGCCGUCACUGGCACAAAAUCGCCAUGGUAUGUUAAUGUGAAGUAUCUAUACAUUCAUCUCGGCGGGGAGAAAAACAUCUAUUAUAUUUUUCAACGCAAACAUGUUGGAUUUUUUAACCGAAGUGGUAACUUUUAAAUAUCUCCGAUAAACAUGCUUUUUCCACACAACUGUUCAAAUAUGAAGAGAGUCAAUAACCUAUUCCUUAAUAACCAUACAUCCAAUGUGUUACACGUGGCCACUGGACCCACUGGAUCCAGUAAACUAACUACAAUAAGCAUUCUCCCGUGUUCCAAUCAACCAUAUCCUAACUUUGAUGAACAAAACACAGGUGAAAGUUCCACGAUGGCUUUAGUGGAAGCGGAAUUGUAUUUUCAUGAUCUGUUAGAUUAGUCACAAUGUUACUUUCAAUCUCAAAUGCAAAUGAUUGCCCAUCAGACUCCAGCAGGGGCGUCAUCAUUCCAGGAUGAUCAAUUACCUACUGUAGAUAAUUCAAAUUGCUUGCCGGAUUGCAAUCAGCACUCUCAAUUGCAAACUUUAAUGGACAUAGAUCCCUCAAUUGCACCACAGCAUACAAGUGACUCACACAUUAUUGAGGCAACAACGGUUGAAUCUCAAGUUUCAGAGGCGGCAACAAAUGCAACAGGCCCAUCGUCAUCACAAGGUGUGUUUGGAUUAAUCUUCAUUGUUACUAUAUGGUUCCACUAGACUCUUAAAUAUCCCCAAAUUAUUUUAUCGAAAUCUAACAUAUGUUUUUUUUGUAAAUUAGAUAUGAAUAGGGGUUCUCCAGUCAUGGACGUACGGAGCAUCUAUGCCAACGAUGAAGAGAUAAGAAACCUGAAAAGAAAAGUGGAAGAACUUGACGACAAAAAAGCUGUCAUAAAGGAGCAGAUGGAGAUAGAGUCUGCUGCUUCCUCUGUUCGGAAGAAGCCGAGGAUAUUGGUUGAGAGAUGACUGAAAGAGACAGAAAGAGCAAGAAAUAAUUUCCAAAUAAUUGGCCAAGCCAAUGUGGAAACUUUGCCACCAAAGGAACAGGUGGAGACAUUGACGAGAGAAGUGGAAGAACUCAUAGGAAAAAUGCUUCCACAAACACUACUCAUAGAGGAGAGAGAUGCCAAAGGAGUCAAAUUUUUUGAACGAAAGCUAACAGGUGAAGUGAUUCAUAGGAACAUUAAGUUGAUUUGGGAUUGUCUGAAGGAAAAUCAUGUAUGCAAAUUGGGUAUUUAUGGAAUGGGUGGUGUUGGGAAGACAACUAUUAUGAUGCACAUACAUAAUAGACUUCUCAAUGAUGCAACCUUCGAUGGUGUGGUUUUUAUCACUGUGUCCAAAGAUUUCAGCAUUUAUAAGUUGCAGAGUGAUAUUGGGGAGGCAUUAAAAUGUGGCAUUAAGGAGGUUGAGGAUGAGAAGAAAUGAGCAGCGAUGUUGUUGGAGCAUUUAGAAAGAAAGAAGAAUUGUGUAUUGAUUCUUGAUGAUGUGUGGGAACAUCUUGAUCUUGAAGAGUUGGGAAUCCCUAUUAGAGCACAUGGAUUUGAGUUCAUCUUAACCACUCGAUCCUUUGAUGUGUGCUGCCAAAUGCAAUAUCAAGAAAAGAUCAAAAUCAAGCCUCUAUCUCAAGAAGAAGCCGAGAGUUUGUUUUUGGAGGAGCUUGGACCCGAAAUGCCACUUAAUUUGGAAAUUGAAGCAAUUGUGAAGUCCAUUGUUAAAGAAUGUGCAGGCUUGCCGAUUGGAGUAAUCACGAUGGCGAGAAGCAUGCGAGGAGUGACCGAAGUGUUUGAAUGGAGGGAUUCCUUGGUGAAAUUGAAAGAAUCGACUAUUAGACAAACAUAUAUGGAAGGUUUUAAGAAUUUUGAAAUUUAGUUAUGAUUGCCUUGGUAAUUCUAAUGUCCAACAAUGUUUCUUAUCUUAUGCACUUUAUCCAAAUGAUGGAUUAAUUGGUGGAUUGAGUACGAGUAAUGAACAAUAUGAUAGAGGGCUCACCAUAUUGAACAAAAUGAGAAAUGUUUGCCUAUUGGAAGGUCAGCACAAGAGAGGGAUGUGGAUGAAGAUGCAUGAUUUGAUUAGAGACAUGGCAUUGCAUAUCAUGGGUGUGACUUUCAUUGUAAAAGCAAGAAAGCAAUUGAUGAGGAUUCCAUCCGAAGAAUAUUGGACUGAUGCUUUGGAGAAAGUUUCUCUAAUGAAUAAUAACAUUAAAGAUUUUCCAUUGGACAUGUCGCCAAAUUGCCCUAACCUAUCAACUCUUCUAUUAAAAAAUGGCUUGUCGCAUGAUGCGGUCAUCCCUGAUUCUUUCUUCAAAAAUUUAUGCGGGCUAAAGGUUCUAGAUUUGAGUGGAAAUGAUAUGACAAAACUUCCAAAUUCCAUCUCAAACUUGGUAAACUUGAGAGCACUAUUGCUCAGACAUUGUCAGGAAUUGCGCCGUGUUCCUUAUCUAGGAAAGCUCACAUCUUUAAGAAAGUUGGGCGCUGAAUACUGUAGGAGUCUUGAAGUGCUUGAGGGUUUGGAAAAGUUGGUGAACUUGAGAUACCUUAACCUAACUGGAACACAUAUUGAGAGAUUGCCCAAGGGAAUGUUGGACCAUUUAUUACACUUGCAAUAUCUUAAAUUUUCGGUGGUAAAUGAAGAAGACAUUACGAAAUUGGGGGCAUUGAAGACAUUUGGAUGCUACCUUAAAAAUGUGGAUGAUUUCAACAAGUGUGUGAAGGCUAUUGAGCAUAGUAAUAACCCUCGCUAUUACGACCUCAAAGUGGAUCGAGAAAAACCAGAGUUUAUUGCGAAAGUAAGCGAUGAUACUCAAUUUGGGAAUUUGAGGAGGAGAGUCAUCAUUUGGGAUUGGAGUCAUGCCAUUUUGAGCGUGGGAGGCGAUUGCACCAGCAUUUUUAUUUUGAUUCCCCAAGAUGCGCAGAUAAUGAUAAUGAGAAAAUACGACGGUAUAACAAAUUUGUCUGGCAUGCGUCUGCUUGAAUACCUUGAGGAGCUAAAUAUAGAAGAAUGGGAAAACUUAGAGGUGCUCUAUGGAGGACAAGACAAAGAAGUAAUCGUCAUCCAUGACUCCCUUACCCCAACCCCUACCUUUCCGCUCUUCCCCAACCUUAGGGUUUUGCGAAUAGAAAAAUGUACGAAAUUGAAGUAUCUCUUUGGGCAUGGGUCUAAAACCAACCUUCCGCAUCUACGAGACAUUCUAAUAUAUGGAUGUGAGGAAAUGGUGGGGAUAAUAGCAGCAGUUACAUCCCCACCACCACAUCCGCUCCCAUUUUUCCCUAGUCUGGAACAGAUUACUAUUGAAAAAUGUAAUAACAUGAAGAGAGUGGUGGAAUCUGAGUGGAUGCCCCACUUCCCUAAUCUAAGAAGAAUCUAAGUAUUCAAAUGUGAGAAGAUGGAGGAGAUAAUCGAAGGUCGUCCCCCAUACUUGCCAGUUGAAGGCAUUUCUCUCGAAUCUCUUACGGUAAUAGAUUGCGGUAACAUGAGAAAGCUGCUUCCGCAUGAGUGGCUGCUCCAUCUUCGAAAACUUCGAAAGAUCAUGGUCUCAUCGUGCAAUGGAAUGGUGGAGAUGAUAAGUGGAGCGGGACAAGGUCAAGAAGGAAGCUUAACGACUCCCUGUAAACAACACCCCUUCAUCCUUCCAGCCUUCUUCAAUUUCUCCCCCAAAGCUGGAGUGGUUGGGACUACUCAAUCUACCCCAGCUGAAGAGCAUAUGCGAAGUCCCAAUAAGCUGCGAUUCCAUGAAAAAUUUGACGGUGUACGGAUGCCAAGAACUGAAGAGGAUUCCUUUGCAACUGCGAUUGUGUGAAAUUGAGGAGCUUCCACAUAUUUGGGUGGAAGAUGAGGAAAAGUGGAAGACGCUAAUUUGGGAUCAUCCCAAUGCUCAGGCUACUCUUAAACCUUAUCUCCUAAAAGGGAAUCACACUAAUAGAGAAAGUCCUUUAUUUUGGGAGGGACCGAGUCCUCCAAGUGCUAUAGGUUAAUGAGUUUAAUCGAUAUACAAUUGCUUCACUUCUUAAAAGUCCUUAUAAAGAUGUAGCUUCUCUGUCUAUAUAGUCAUGCAGCUCUAAUAGUGGCCUUUUGCAGAACUGUCCACCAAGGGAGAGGAUCUCUAGUGACUCUGCUCUUGAAGAAAGCCCUACUGCUCGACCAUGCUUUCCUGCAAACUCGACUCAGGUUGUCAUAUAAUUUGACUUUUUUCGUGUAUAUUUUGAAUGUGUUCGCAUGUUUUAUUGACUAUUGGAAAUGAGUCAAUCUGGUCGAUAUUUCAGGUUAGUCAAAAAACAACGGAUCUGAAGAUUUAGGAAGCUAAGGGACGAGCAAAGCCUGUUUCCUAUCUUGUCUUAUAACCGAAAGGACAAUUUAUUAUUAUGGAUUGAUCUUCCUAGAAUAUUAGCCUUCUAAGAAAAGAGAGAAUUUUGGGCAGCACUACCUUUUAAUAUGCUUGUGUUUAGAAAGGAUUUCAAAUAUGAUAUUGCUAUAACUUGUCGAUCAAAAAUGUUGUGCCACAUAUGCUGCUUUGCUCUCUUGGAUCAGAGCAACAUGACUCUGAUUAAACUUGUUUCGACAUUAAACUAUCGGAUAUAGAAUACUUGAUCUGCUUAGUAGUUGUAUCAUAUCUGGAAACGUAGGCUGGAAAGUUUUCUUUUCACCCUUUGUUGUAAAAUUUCACCUCAACCCCACUUUGAGUUAUAAAAUAAAAAUCCAUCACCCCUCUUUUGAUUCCUUGAAGUCGUAAAUAGAUGGAGAACCCUACAGCUUCAGCUUAAGUUGCCAAAAGAUUAGAGCAGUUACCACUAGCAAGUUAGUGGUGAAAAGGCCAACUUAUUGGACAUGGCACUUUCGGAAAUGUUUACAUUGCAAGCAACAGGUUAGCUAGCUCUGGUAAACUUUGACAUGUUCCAAUUUUCUAGAUAUCCAGUCAGCUAAACUUUGACCUAUUAGGUGACAGAGAAACCAGAUCUUUAUGUGCAUUGAAGGAGUUUGAGCUAUUGCCUAAUGAUCCAAAUUCAGCUGAGUGCAUGGGGCAGUUAAAGCAGGUAAUGUCUUUGUUAUGCUCCGGGAUCCAAUCUAUUCUCUCAUCUGAUCUAAAUAUGCUGGGAGGAAAUUUUUUUUUAUCAUUUCUAGGUAAUUGAUUGCUUUGCUACUACAGGAAAUUCAAGUACUUAGCCAGCUUAGACAUCCAAACAUUCUGCAGUAUUAUGGCAGUUAAAUUGUGAGUCACCUUUCCACGGCAUCUACACGACCCAGAUCAAUGGGCAUUCAUAAUUUUACUUACCGAAAUUCCAACAUAUUCAUACAUACUUAGGUUGAGGAUCAACUUAAAAUAUAUCUAGAAUAUGCACAUCACGGUUCGAUAGACAAGUAUAUUCAGGAGCAUCUUAGGACCCUAACAGAAUCGGUUGUUCACACUUUUACCCUCCAUAUUGUGGCUGGAUUGGCUUCCCUGCAUCUUAACAACUCCAUACAUGGGUAAUUCUAAACCAUUGAUCAAGUAUCAUGAGAUGACUUGCAUACUAGAUUAGGAUGAUUGGACCUUCUUCUUUGUCCCUAUAGACCUGUUAAAACUCUUUGGCUUGCGCAGGGAUUUAAAGGGAGCUAAUUUAUUUGUGGAUGCAUAUGGGAUAGUUAAACUUGCUGACUUUGGGAUUGCUAAACAUGUGAGUUUCCACCUCUUCACUGCAAGACUACUGAGUGCAUGUAGAAAUUCCUUGUUGAUCUAUGGUGCAUUCGAAUGUUAAGUCAGGAACCCAGGGUGACUGCAUACUUCUCAUUAAUGGUUUGUGGCAUUUCAUAUAUGCAAAAAUCCAUUAUAGAUGGAUGAAAUGUUAUUGAGUAAUUUUCUUCACUUUUUUUCCCAUUGUUUCGGGUAAAGUUACUAUGUUGCAUAAACUAGAAAAGAUUUCUUGUUAUAAAUAGAUGCUGAAACCUACUGAGAGUUCUUUCCUUUUCUACUGGUUUCUAAAAAGUUCCUAAGAGAGGUAGUGAAUAAAACGCAAUACCUUUGGCGAAAGGUUGUGGUUUUGUUUUUGCUGCUUCUCUGCAUUCCCAAAGAAGGAUAGAAUUUAGUUAGAGUAAAGAAAGGCCUCCUUCCUAACAUGGGGUUAAUAAAAGUGUAUUGGUCCAUAGAACGGAAUUCUAGACAAUAGCCACGGUACUGUUGGUCUCUUUUUUGAGUUCUCAAACAUUUGCUGAGACCAUGUUGUUGAUUGCUUCAUGGUCAUUUUUCUCAGUAAUGAGCUAACAUAAGUUGAAAGUGGUUGAUUUAGUUAUCAAUCUGAUGUAUUUAUAUCUAUAAAGAUGUUGCUAUUUUAUCCAGUGUUCCAUGAACACACUAGGUAGUCUUCGACUCUACUAAUCUCUUACCAUUUCUUAGCUAACCGGACAAGCAGCUUCUUGCUCUUUGAAGGAAGUCUAAACUGGAUGGUUCCCGAGGUACUCUGCUUUGGUGAAUGUUAACGCUGCAUUCUUUUUUUGUCGUGACGGAAUGAUGGAAUAAUAUAUCCAGCAGCUCAUACAAUCCUUGAUGGCAAAUAAUUACAGCACAGAUCUCGAUUGUAUUGUCGACUUGUGGAGUUUGGGAUGUACUAUUACCGAAAUGAUAAUUGGCAAACCUCCUUGGAGUGAGUAUGAGUGGGUAGGUACGCUGCAUUGCUUUUUCAUUUUCUCUGUUUGUCCCUCCAAGUAAUACGCUUCCAACCAAAUCUGCAUCGUCGUCUGGAAGAGAUUAUUGUUUGGGACUGUGGUAAAAUGAAGAGAGCAGUGGAAUCUGAGUGGAUGCCCCACUUCCCUACUCUGAGAAGAAUCACAGUAUAUGAAUGUGAGAAGAUGGAGGAGAUAAUCGAAGGUCCUUUCUCAUACGUGCCAGUUGAAGAGAUUUCUCUUGAAUCUCUUGAAUCUCUUGAAGUAGCAAAUUGCAAUAACAUGAGAAAGCUGUUUCCGCAUGAGUGGCUGCUCCAUCUUCGAAAUCUUCAAAGGAUCGAGGUCGAUUAUUGCAAAGGAAUGGUGGAGAUGAUAAGCGGAGCCAGACAAGGCCAAGAAGGAAGCACGGUGACUCCUGUAAAUAACACCCCUUCAUCCUUCCAGCCUCCUAUUUCUCUCCCAAAGCUGAAGUUCUUGGGUCUAUGGUCUUUGCCCCAGUUGGAGAGCAUAUGCGAAGUCCCAAUAAGCUGCGAUUCCAUGAAAGAAUUGACAGUGUCCGGAUGCCCAGAACUGAAGAGGAUUCCUUUGCAACUGCGAUUGCGUGAAAUUGAGGAGCUUCCGCGUUUAUGGGUGGAAGAUGAGGAGCAGUGGAAGACGCUGAUGUGGGAUCAUCUCGAUGCUCUGGCUAUUCUUCAACCUUAUCUCCAAAAAUGGAAAUACGCUGUAAGUAAUGAGUUAAUUGUAUACGAUUGCUUCACUUCUUAAAAGUCUUUACAAAGAUGUAGCUUUUCUGUCUAUAUAGUCAUGCAGCUCUAACAGUGGCCUUUUGCAGAACUGGACGCCAGGAGAAAGGAUCUCCCUUGGCACUGCUCUUGAAGAAAGCCCUGCUGCUCGACCAUGCUUUCCUGCAAACUCGACUCAGGUUGCCAUAUGAAUUGACUUUUUUCGUGUGGCCAUGCUUUGUGUAUUUUCAAUGCGAUUGCAUGUUUUAUUGACUACUGGAAAUUAGUCAGUUUGGUCGAUAUUUCAGGUUAGUCAAAAAACAACGGAUCUGAAUAUUUGGGAAGCCAAGGGACUAGCAGAGGUCUGUUUCCUAUCUUGUCUUAUAACCGAAAUGAAAAUUUACUAUUAUUAAUUUAUCUUCAUGGAAUAUUAGCCUUCUAAGAAAAGAGAGAAUUUUGGGCAACACUACCUUUAAUUUGUUUGUGUUUAGAAAGGAUUUUAGAUAUGAUAUUGCUCAAACCUGUCGAUCCAAACUGUUGUGCGAUAUACGCUGCUUCGCUCUUUUGGAUCAGAGCAACAAGACCUCGAUUGAACUUGUUUCGACAUUAAACUGUUGGGUAGAGAAUACUUGAUCUGCUUAGUAGUUGUAUCAUCUCUGGAAAUGUAGGCUGGGAAGUUUUCUUUUCACCCUUUGUUGUAAAAAUUCACCUUAGCCCCACUUUGAGUUAAGAUGUAAGAAGAUGAAGAAGAAAGAAUUGCACAGCUAUCAACCCUCUUUUAAUGCCUCUAAGUCGUGGAUAGAUGGAGAACCCUACAACUUCAGCUCAGGUUGUCGAAAGAUCAAGCAGUUACCACUAGCAAGUCAAUGGCAAAGAGGCCAGCUUAUUGGAUGUGGCACUUUCGGAAAUGUUUACAUUGCAAGCAACUAGUAAGUUAUCUUUGGGAAACUUUGACAAGUUCCAUUUUUUUUCGAUAUCCAGUCGGCUAAACUUUGACAUAUUAAGUGACAGAGAAACCAUAUCUCUAGGUGCAUGGAAGGAGCUUGAGCUAUUGCCUAAUGAUCCAAAUUUAGCUCAGUGCAUGAGGCAGUUAAAGCGGGUAAUGUUUUUAUUAUGCUCUAGGAUCCAAUCUAUCCUCUCAUCUGAUUUAAAUAUGCUGGGAGGAAACUUUCUUUCAUCAUUUCCAAGUAAUUGAUUGCUUUGCUACUACAGGAAAUUCAGGUACUUAGCCAGCUUAGACAUUCGAACAUUAUACAGUAUUAAGGCAGUGAAAUUGUGAGUCACCUUUCCACGGCGUCUACGCAUCCCAGCUCAAUGGUCAUUCAUUAUUUGACUCACCAAAAUUUCAACAUUUUAUACAUACUCAGGUUGAGGAUCAUCUCAACAUAUAUCUAGAAUAUGAACAUCAUGGUUCAAUAGACAAGAAUAUCUAGGAGCGUCUUGGGACCCUAACAGAAUUAGUUGUUGCACUUUUACUCGCCACAUUGUUACAAAAUUGGCUUCCCUGCAUGUUGACAACUCCAUAUAUGGGUAAUUCUAAACCAUUGAUCAAGCAUCAUGAGAUGACUUGCGUAUUGGAAUAGGAUGAUUGGACCUUCUUCUUUGUGCUUACAGACCUGUUAAAACUCUCUGACUUGCGCAGGGUUUAGAGGGAGCUAACUUAUUUGUGAAUGCAUCUGGGAUAUUCGAACUUGCUGACUUUGGGAUUGCUAAACAUGUGAGUUUCCACCUCUUCACUACAAGACUACUGAGUGCAUGUUGAAAUUCCUUGCUGAUCUGUGGUGCAUUCAACUGUGUACUUCUCAUUAUUGGUUUGUGGCAUAUCAUAUGUGCAAAAAUCUAUCGUAGAUGGAUGAAAUGUUAUUGAGUAAUUUUCUUCACUUGUUUUCCCAUUGUUUUGGUUAAAGUUACUAUGUUGCAUAUAUGGGAAAAGAUUUCUUGCUAUAAAUAGAUGUCGGAACCUAAUGAGAGUUCUUUCCUUUUCUACUGAUUUUUAAAAAGUUCCUAAGAGCGGUAGUGAAUUUGUAAUACCUUUGCCAAAAGGUUGUGGUGUUGUUUUUGCUGCUCCUCUGCAUUCCAAAAGAAGGAUCAAAUUUAGUCAGAGUAAAGAAGGGCCUCCUUCCUAACAUGGGGUAAAUAAAAGUGUAUGGGUCCAUAGAACGAAAUUCUGAACUAUAGUCAAGAUAUUGUUACACUCUUUUUGAGUUCUCAAGCAGCAUUGGCUGAAGUCAUGUUGUUGAUUGCUUCAUGGUCUUUUUUACUAAGUAAUGAGCUAACAUAAGUUGAAAGUGGUUGAUUCAGUUAUCGAUCUGAUGUAUCUAUGUCUAUAAAGAUGUUGCUAUUUUAUCCAGUGUUCCAUGAACACACCAAGUAGUCUUUGGCUUUAAUAAUGCCAUACCAUUUCUUAGCUAACCGGACAAGCAACUUACCGCCCUUUGAAUGGAAGUCUAAACUGGAUGGCUCCAGAGGUACUCUGCUUUUGUGAACGUUAAUGCUACAUUCCUUUUUUUGUCGUGGCAGAAUGAUGGAAUAAUAUAUCUUGCAGCUCAUGCAAUCCUUGAUGGCGAAUAAUUACAGCACAGAUCUCGAUCAUUCUGCCAACAUGUGGAGUUUGGGACGUACUAUUAUUGAAAUGAUAACUGGGAAACCUCCUUGGAGUGAGUAUGAGUAAGUACGCCGCAUUGCCUUUUCAUUUUCUCUGUUUGUCCUUCCAUGUAACACGCUUCCAACCAAAUCUGCGUUGCCGUUUUCUGUGGGAAGUUCAGGGUCGUGUACAUCGCCAUUUGGUAUGUGAUCUGUGUCAUGCGUUUCUGUUUAAGGUUGAAUCAUUAAUGUAGGCUCAAGCUACAUUUAAGGUGAUUUGAAGUUCUCUAGCAAUACCUGAGACGUUAUCUGCCGAGGGAAAGGAUUUCCUGCAAUGCUGCUUUCGAAGACAGUCUGUCGAGAGGCCUUCAGCUGCUAUGCUACUUGAGCAUGCUUUCCUGCAAAUCUGAAGUUGCAGAUGACUGACCUAUUUCAAGUGCCAUAUGUUGUCACAAAAGGGUUGUUGUCCUGUAAAGUUCCAUAUUGACUAAACCAGAAGGAUCACACGGUCCAUAGAUGUGAUAAAGUACUUGUAUAUCGACAAAAUAAGACGGAUGUUCCUCUUGCAUGGUCUGACUAGCGGCAUACUGAUCUAGGCAAUUUAACAGUGUUGCUUAAUCUAAACCUUUUAGUGUAGAGUGCAUUCUUAUCAUAAACAUUUUGUGCGAAGUACAUUUAUUCAUCAAAAUUGAAUGGUAUUGAUUUGGCUCCAAAUAAGCAACAGAUCAGUGAAACAAAAGCAGGUAAACCCAGAAAAGAGGAGAAAAAGAAAAUCGAAGCGAUAGUGCAUCAGAAUUCCUGAACUAAUUUUGAAAGCAAAUACUUUGUCGGUUUGGUGGGAGGAACAUUGGCAGGUUUGGCAAACCUGCAGUGUCUUAGGAUUGCAUUAGAGGCUCUUGAUUCUUCCCUUCAACAAAUACAUGAGAUUUUCUCCGACCAGAGUGGCCCUCAUCACUAUCACCAAAUUCCGGUGAAUCAAGAAAAGCCAUCGUGGUCUGUCUCUGAAUUUAAAUGAUGAUGAGGAUCCAAGAUUUAUAACUUCCGAGAGGAGAAUCAACGUUAAUUGUUGUGAUUAUGCUCUUGUCAGGGCAGUGAGGGGAAAGUCUUUCCCCUAUUGGUUUUGCUCCCAAGUGAUGCUGCAAGUUUACUGUAUUUUCCCCUUAUGGUUGUUUGUCAUUUCGUGGACCAUUUUUAGAAUAACUUUGCAUCUCCUCUCUAUAAAAUACAAACAACUGAUGAAAUCUGUUGAAAAUAUCUCACACCGGUCUUUUACAAGAUUUUAAUGGGCCUUACAUUCAUAUAAUUUACCUUCACUUGUUCAAAUUUUUAGGUUGGACUUUCUCUUAUGUGCAAAUAGCAAUUUCUGCUUGAAAUGAAGAGUAAACAUGCUUCCCUUUUUUAACUAUUUUUUCUACGAUUAAAGUGAUUCCUCUACCCUAUACUAGAAAUAUAUAAAGUGUCACAGAAAAAGAAACUCCUCGAAAUUUUGUAAAGUCGGAGGCGCAGCUCAGAUUGAGCUAUGACUCUCAACUGCAUUAAAUUCUCUCUUCAUUUUCGUCUUCUUUUGUUCUUUUCCUCAAUUUUUAGCCAACAUCCUAACCAUAAGGCGCCUUUUCUCUUUUGUCCCUUAUCUCUCCCCCUUUUCUUCGUACACCUCACUCUUCUUUUCCUGCCUCUUUUUUUUUUGGUUCUCUGCCCGAACCCUUAACGAAGACAACUAAUUGGUAUUUAGUUUUCCAAAGUGUAGCAUUAUUGAGCACCAUCAUCGACCAUCAAGUUCGCUAAACUCAACCAUCAAUUAACUAACUAUUCUUGUUUAACAGGCCAGGCCAACGCUCGCUUGGGCAAGGGCGAGCCCCGGUGAGGGCUCCCAUUAUUUAAAAAUAUUUAAAAAUUAUUAAAAAAUUAUUAAAAAUGAUCUACGUCAGCGCCAGCGGUCCUACGUGGCACCACCAAUGUCCACAUCAGCAUUUUUCGGCCAAAAUUGACCAGAUGGACUGAAUUGGCAAUAAGUGAAAACGUUUAAGACUGAAUUGGCAAAAUUAAAAAUGCAAUAGGUUUAGGACUUUUUGGACAAUUUUCCCGAAAUAAUUGCGAUACCAAAUGCUAAAGGGCAAGACGGGAGACUUUUAUACGAAGUGAAUGGAAGCAAAGGUGCUUCUGAAAAGGGCAUUUUCAGAAGGAAAAGUGCUUGUGCAGCUAAGGGGGGAAAGAGGGGAGUCUUAUAAGAACUGAGGUAAAAGUGCUUGCAAAAAGGACAUUUUCGGAAAAAAAAAAAGUGCUGGUCAUAAGAGCUUUAUAAAUAGUGAUAUGGCUUCUUAUAAAACGUUUUAUACGAAGUCGGAAAAGUUUUGUAAGAAGUGACGUGGCUUCCUCUAUAAGGGCAAGGCAGGAGACUUUUAUAAGAAGUCAAUGAAAGCGAAAGUGCUUCCGAGAAGGGCAUUUCGGCAGGAACAGUGCCUGUGCAGCUAAGGGGGAGACAGGAAAGUUCUAUAAGAACUGAGGCAAAAGGGCUUCCAAAAACAGCAUUUUCGGAAGAAAAAGUGCCGGUCAUGAGAGCUUUAUAAAUAGUUACGUGGCUUCUUAUAGAACGUUUCAUACGAAGUCGGGAAUGUUUUGUAGCGGCUGACUUCGUAUAAAACGUUUGACUUCGUAUAAAACGUUUAAAUGUUUUAUACGAAGUCAGGAAAUUUUUGUAAGUGACGCGGCUUCUUUCUCAUGAAAAGCCCCCAGAGGACGCCGUUCUUCUUUUAAAACUCUCCUGGCCAGCACAUUUUUUUCAAUUCACUUCUUAUAAAACUCUUGUCUCGCCCCUUAGCAUUUGGCACCGCAUUUCUCUCACAAAACAAUUCACUCAUGGGGAAUGUUUUUACGCGCCAUUGUGAAGACGCGAUCAUUCCUGAAGCUGAAGCUGUGGUUAUAUCUGGUAAUUUUCUCUUCUUCAUCUUCUUCAUCUGUGAUUCACGGUCACCCAUAGACGUUUGAGUUGAGUUUGAUUCUUAUGUUAAAAUUUACGUCCUUCAUUUCCUUGAGAUUCAAUUGUUUCGCUUAGAAAGUUUGUCAACUAGAUAAGGGCUGGUGAUGAUGUGUUUAAUGCACUUUUGUAGGUCAGAUUUGGCGAUUAUGUGUUUGUUUUUCUCACUUUUAAGCUUCUAAAGUACAGAGAACUAGUCUUUUGAUAGUUACAAAAAGUACAGAGAAGUAGUCUUGUAAAGGUUGAUCCACUGGUAGAAUUGUGUGGCAAUCAUUAUGAGACCGUGAUGUAAUGCCUCUUUAUUUUUCUAAUCCAUAGAUCUAUUUCCCAUGUCUACCAUUCGUAAUGAAGAAGAGGGCAGUGAAGAAGUUGAAUUACAUGAUGAAUUUGCCAUCAUCAAUGUCCCCAUUCAAGGUGGAGAUGGCAAUACCAUACCCAGUGAAGAAGAGGGCGGUCAAGAAGUUGAAUUACACGAUGAAUUGAUUGCCGUCAUUAUCCCCAUUCAGGGUGGAGAUGGCAAUACCAUACCUAGUGAAGAAGAGGACGGUCAAGAAGUUGAAUUACACGAUGAAUUGAUCGCUGUUGUUGUCCCCAUUCUGGAUGGUGAUGGCAAUGGUGACGGCCAUAUUGAGGAUGGCGACAACAAUGUUGGUGAGCAUGAAGUGGAGCAAGAGGUGCAGGAGGUGGAGAAUGAGCAGGACGGCGGCGAGGGGGCUGGUGUGGGGGUUGUUGUUGGUCCUGCCGUUGCUGGUAAUAGAGCUGGCUUUAUUGUUCUGGCAACGGUGCUAGUGGGGGCGCUCGUCUUGUGGAAGAUGCGGCUGAUAACACUGUUAGAGUUGCUUUUGAUGGUGGUGGUAGUAUUGGCAGUAGCCUUGCUCCUUGGGCGCAUGGAUUGGCUAAACUUGAUAUGGAUCUUAAUCCUAAGACUCAAUAUUAUCCUAGUAUGAUGGAGAGAUUGACGCGUGGAUUGCCACGUGAGAUGUCUAGGUGGACUUCUUUGGAUGAUUUUCAGUAGAACAUUUUUGUUGCAGGAACCUCUGUUUGUAUCCUUAUUUCAUCAUGUAUACAUUUGUAUCAUUACUGGUUAUGUUGUCAAUGUACUUGGAAGGAAUAAACAUAUUCAUAGUUUAUUAACAGCUGAUUGUUCUCCUAUUGGUAUAAUUUAAGUACGCAUACGUAAGGAAUGGAGUAAGUACGGCCAUAACGAUUAUUCUCUAAUUUUAUGCGAGACUUAGAUAAAUUAGCCUCCCUAUACCAUAAAACCCGGUGGCAAUUUGAUGAACCGUCAUGUUUUCUUAGGAUUAGUAUGUGCACAAGUAGUUACGGAAUCUUAACUUUCACGUAAGAGGAUGGUCAGUAAGCUUUUCUUUGCCCAUGAGCUUAGCUCUCCUUUUUAUAUUCAGCUGGACUCAUCAAUGACAGAGGGUCAUUUGAUUCAAUCUUCUAUGUGAUGUUGAUGCAUAUAUGAUUACAUAUAAAUAGACGUGACAAAUGAGUGGACUGAAUUGAUUUUGGAUGGAUUAUCAAUAGGUUCAAUUCAAAUUCACGCAUUUAAUUCACGUUGACCCAUUUAUUUUCUGCACAAUUUAUAUGACACAUAGCCAAUCCAAACCCACCAACAUAACUCACAAUUUUUUUUAUUAAUACCAAUUAAACAAUUAUCAAAUUAAAAUAAUAAAAAUUAAUAGGGAUAAAUACACUUAAAAUCCUAAAAUUUGUCAUGAAGUAUAAUUAAAUCCUAAAAUUUAUCACAAAAAUUCAAUUGAAUUUUAAAAUUUUCAAAAAUAGUAAUUUAAGGGAUUUUUUUUCCCCUUCGCAGGCUCCCCUUUUCUCUCUCUCCAUGCCCGCUUUUUGGAAUUAAAGAGGAGAAGAAUGAAUUUUUCGCACUAACCUCCUUCUACUUCCUCUGCUUCUUCACGAACGACCAUAAGCCUUCACAAACCGAUCCCUUUUUUCUCUGCCAUGCUUUAGUCGAGCCGUAGCAGUUGUCCUUUGACCCGGAUGUUGCCGGUGACACCGUGGCCCGUCUCUGAGCUCGACGGCGAGAAUUGAGCCACCUAGAUUCAUCUUGCGCCUCUAUCUCUCUCGUCAUCCCCUUUCGACUUCGGAUGGGGCUGAUUCGAGCCAUUGACAUAAUUUCGUCUCAGAUUCACGGCCGAGUCGAGGCAUAGAUCUGAGAUCUAGGGCUCAAUCGAGCUCCACCAAAGGCGAGGGCUCAGUCGAGCUACACCAGAGGCGAGGGCUCUUGGGAGUUAUGUUCAGAUGAUCAUUACAUGAGAGACCCAUGCCAGUACCUACUCAAGGACUACUGCUUUGGAUUGUGCCUAAGAGACAGAAAUGAUCUUUCCUUGACCAUCCAGGACUUCAACUAUGCCAGCUUUUCAGGACUUAGCUACAUCAAACAUCCCCAUUAGUGGAUAAAAGUUGAAACGCCAUUAACCCGAGAAAGAAGCCAGUGCUUUUAGAAACUCUUCUGGAUAACAUAACAAAGUGCAUUCUGCCAAUGGUAUAUGCUUUCAUUUUAUAUGAAGCUAUAUGCAUGUCGUCAUUACAAAUUUAAAAUUGAGCUCGACUGCCCAGUAUUCAUGCAAUUUUCCUUAUCUUAGCCCCUCCAGAAACUAUCAAUGCUUGCUAUAUUAAUAAAACCAAAUGCUAUUUGAACAGAACAAGGCCUAAUUUUUCUUUUGCUCUUCCAAUUUCUUUGGGUUGGUUUGAAUUUGAUUUAAUUUUUGUGUUUUUCCCUUCUUUCUUGCCUUUUACCUAACAAACCAUGAUAUUUCAACAAACAGUGAUGACAAAGCAUCAAAUUAUGACAAGGAGAUUCAUUUAUAUUGAUUGAAUCAUGCAAUAGUGAAGUUAAAGUUAUUUAUAUUAGUUGAAAGGUGAUCAUUCUUGACAUGGAGUGACAGCAAAAUACUUUCGUACUUUCUCUUCGUAAAGUGAAUAUUGUUUUACUCUUCUAUUUAAAAUCUAACAUGUAGAAAGUAAUUAACUAAGCUAAAUAAUAUAGAGUAAUUUGAGAAAUGGCAAUAUCUAUCCGAAUUCCAACAUGUCAACACAUUGAACUUUGAUGUAAUUACAUAUAUCUGUGCACGUCAUACUCUAGUAUUCCAUUGAAUUACAGCAUAAAUGCUAGAGUAUAUAUUUUGAUACUCAACCUAGAUACUCAACCCAGUGUGCUUGCUGGUAGUCAAUAUUGACAAAGUUAAAUAAGAGAAUCACAGUGCAGAAAAUCAGCGCAUCUUUGGCUGAUUCAACUUAGAAAUAAUUAAGAGGGAAAGGACCUAUAGGCUCUUAAGUCUUUGCAGAACUAGUGAAGAGCUUUAAAAUGCCAAGGCAGGCGAUUGGGAUGCAUGAGAUUCUGCAAAACCUUGAGAAGUGCAAAAGACAGGGGACAGCAGAGACCUCAGUUAAUGCAAAUUCAACAGGCACAAAUGAUCAAUGCAAUCAUGCGAUAUGAACUUGAACAGAAAAUUGCCCAAGAGCUCAUUAUGGCAGGGCAAGCUGGAAGAGGCUUACCCUGAAGUGGAUUUACCCAAUCUUUCAUCUUUACAUCGUCUCUGAUCAUCGACCAUCGACUCGAAAACAUCUAACAGUUGAUCCAGUCCCUCUGGACUGCCCCCAACUGCCUUCAUCGCGUAGAUGGCACUCUCGAGAGUGGACAAACAUCCAGCCUUAGGCUGACUUCUAACUUCUCUGUACAAGCUCAUCACCUCCAAAUCCAACUUCAGAUGAGGCAACAGCUUCAACCAAGGAUUCUCGCUGUACAUUCUCUUUGCCUUCAUCCACGUGCCGUCCAGCAAGAUCAAGUUCCUGACUUUGAACUCAGCUGCCUUGAGUUCAUCAAUGCUGAGCGCAUUCUUGGUCGGAAACAGAAGUACCGACCCGCGCGGCACUUCAAGUACGAAUUCCUCAGAUUCUUCAAGCUCCAAGCUCGAAUUCAAUACAAGGUUUUGCGAUUUCCUAACCACAAAUCCAUUCGACAGAACGUCAUGAGCUGACUGGCAAUCUAAUAUGGAAUCAAAAUCAGCUCCUCGAUGACCAAUUUGAGACAUCCAAACAUGGUCUAUCGAUUCAAUAAUCCCCUUCUUGCCCAUUCGAAAACUGAUAACAGGUUUGCUGGUACUUCUAGACAAGACUCCACAAGCGCGCGAGUUCUGCGGCACCUUGGAAUCCUCUGAAACCUCCCCACCGUUUGGGGCAAUCGAACCGCAGUCCCUUUCAUCCCCAGGACAAUAAGCUCCAUUCGAUUCGACGACCGAAUUAGGGCUUCCCACCUCCACUCCAGAUACCAAUCCAUUGGCGCUGAUUUCGCGGUCUUGCUCGAGCGGCGAGAUCGAGAACUCGACGCCGGAGUUGACGUCGGAAACGGCGGCGACGGCGACGUUCUUGAGCGCUAGCCUCAAGAUUUGGGUGGAAUUGAGGGGGUGCUUCCGCUCCAGGCUGUGCUGGAGGACAGUGACGCGGACGGGGUGGUCGAGACGCGGAGAUCGGAUCCGGGUGCAGAGGCACGUGCGCGCCGGCUUCGAGCAGGACGGGCAAACGGGUCACUUCGGAUUGGUGGAGCGGGCCGUUUCCGCCAUUUUCGCCGACCGCGGCGGACGCUGGCGGCGAUCCGGCUGGGGGAAGGAGGGAGCUUGAGGAGGAGGAGGAGGAUGGUCGGGGACGCGUAUCGAAACGGGCUCGGAUUCAGGUUCGGGAACGGGUUCGCGAAUCGGAUACGGGUUGCGAAAUGGACCCGCAUUUUCCCAGAAAUUGGGAGAUGAUUUUUGGGAAUCUGAAAAAAACGGUAGGGGCCGGAGCGGGCGGGGGCGCUGUUUGGCCAAAACGGUCGAGCAAAUGGUUUUGAAUUUACGAAAGAGCGUGCCAGCGGCGGCCUCUGUGAUUCAAAUCCGAAAAAUAGUGUGCAGAGGCCAAUCGAUGACUGCCGCCGUGAGGCAAGGUUGGAUAUCAUGAUAGCGACCAAGUGGUGGAGAUUGUUCUUGUGGGUUUAUCAUGCCAUGAGAUGGCAACUACUGCGGCGAUGGUCGAAAUCAGGAUGAUGAAUGACUGAAAUCAUGCAUCUAGACCACAGUAAGUAUCCACUUAGAUCAAAUGGUCAACAAGUUAACAAUUGAGGCCCAUGAAGAUUUUAGCAGAGGAAGUUGAUAUGUUCUUUAGAUCCUCGGACGGCGGUCGCGGUUUGCACUUCAGAUUGUAAUAGCAGCCUUGGGGUUCCUCCUUUCAAAGUCUUAUGGGUAUUUAUCACUUAGACGUCCUAAGCUUCAUAUCAGAUGCUAAUGAUGUUGCUGAACUUCACAUGAAAUCGCCUUCUUGGAAUUUGCAUGAGUAUUGUCCAAUUUCAACUUGGUGAGGAACUUUUUGGCCGAAAAAAUAAAUAAAUUUGGUUGAUGUUUCAGGUUAGCCAAAGGACGAUAUAUCUGAAUAUCUAAGAAACCAGAGGACUAGCAGAGUCUACUUCCUGUCUGGCUUAGAACUGAAAGGAAAAUUUAUAAAAAUUAUUAUAUGAUUGAUCUUUCCAAAAUGUUGCCUCCUAAAGAAAAGAGAGAAUUUUGGCCAAUACCGCCUUUAAUUUGUUUGUGUUUAGAAAUGAUUUUGAACAUGAUAUUGCAUAAACUUGUCAAUUGAAAAUGUUGUGCCACACAUGUUGCUACUCUCUCUUUUGAAUCAUACCAACUUGACAUGGAUUGAAUUGUUUCAACAUUAAACUAUUUAGAAUAUUUAUUCUACUUAGUGAUUUUAUCAUAUUUGGAAACAUAGGCCGGCAAGUUUCUUUUCGCUCUUUGUUGUCAAAAGAAGAAGAAAGAAUUGCAUAGCUAUCACCUCUGUUUUGACAAAUAUAGUAGCUUCCCAUGUCUGGGGUAAGACGGUGAAACUCGCAAGGGUUCGUCUUAAGUCAGCUUGUGCUUCGCACAAUGUCCUGUAACCGACUUGUUAGCUUAGUACCCCAAUUACCUUAUACUCCUUUUCUUCAAUUAUUAUUUUAGCACACAGAGAGAGGACCAAUGCUGAGGUCUUGAUGAGCACCGACUACCCUUGAGCAACCACUUCAACACUUCCUUGAAGAGAGAGGAAACACCCCUCCUUCUCUUCGUUUCCAUUUUCCUAUUAUUUUGUUUUUUGUUUUUUUUGGUGAUCUUUGCCUUUUAUUUUUUAAAAUUUUUUGCCUUUUCUUUGAGAUGUCACAUCAGCACCAUGCGUUCUAAAAUUUUUUAGAAAUGUCAUAUCUCCACUUUCAAAAGAAAUGAAAGAAACGUUGAAUAUAGACAGAGAAGGGGCUGGUCUUGUAUCCAAUUCAUGCCACGUCAGCAAGUUGGUAAUGUCCCUAGCCAUGAAUUAUGGAGGAACUUGAUUUCAUUAACAGAGAAAAGCUAAAGGACAUAUUUCUUCUUUUUCCCCCAAGAAUGACAGCACGUGUAUUCGGAGGAAGCUCCUCGAGGCACGGUCCGUCCUUCAGCCACAUGUUAGAUAUAAUAUUGGUAAAUGGUGAUGAACAUCAUAGUUUCUUAUGGAAUGAUCCUUGGCAUCCUCAUGCGGUGUUGUUUGGAUGUUUAUCCUAAAAAAUUAAUUUAUAAUGCUGCACUGGCCCUGAACUCUCUAGUUGCUGGUGUCAUUUAUGGAGAUGAGUGGGUUUGUCCUCCAGCAGGAUCAGAAUUUUUUGUGCAUAUUCAAGCAGCCAUAUGUGGAACGAUCUUUCCCCUGCUCUGCUUUUGAGGGCAGAGCAAUUUUCAAAGGAAAUUCCUUCGGAUGCUUUACUCAGCUGAUGCUUGGAAGCGAGUAAGGAUAAAAUGCAGAAGAUCUAAUCCAAGGCAUAAAUUCAGCUUUGUAGCUGCUUGCUAUCUUGAACAGACUGCAACUUGGACGGGAUAAAAUGGGGGUCCUCCAUUGAUGACAAAUGUGUCUUAUGCUCUUCUUCCCGAGUCUAGGAAACCUUUGUGUUUUGAGGGUGCCUUCUCAAAGGAUGGAGAUUUCUAAUGCGGCUGGUUAAAGUUUGUUGGAAUGUUAAUAAUUGGGAUAGAAUGGGUUCUCUAGAGCUUGUAGAGGGAGGUCUUUGACUAAAAUCGUAUUGAAACUCAUUUGGAAUGGUGCCAUCUACUCUAUUUUGGGGAUAGGAAUGAAGUUUUUCACAAUCAUGCUGCUCCUCCGUCUGCUGAAGCUGUUAAAAUGGCGGUCUUUGGUGUGAGACUUCGCAUCAAGAUGUUGCAAGAAACAAAGAGUCUUUCGAAGGAUGCAGAGAAAGCUUUGUGUAUGUUAUUUCGAAUUGUUUGUUAAGCCUGGGUGUUUUCUGUUGUUCUUUCUCUAGGCUUCAUAUACUAACCUGAAAAAAAGAGCUAACGGAAUUAAUUGCAAGUUAGAGGAUUUCACAGCACAAAAAUGAUAAAGCAAGACCGUAUCUCAUGAGAUACGGUUUUUUUUUUUUUUUUACCGACCAAAAAACAAAAGACCGUAUCUCAAUAUAAGAUUUGCAUUUUACGGGAUUGGUUCUUAUUUUCUUUUUAUGGUUUCGAGUGCCACUCACCACGUGUCAUCUUUCCAUGGAGGUUGGACCUGGCCGCUGGUUCCUUGAUGUUGGUCCGGUCCUGACUGCCAUUGACUCUGUUUUUCCAUUUCAUAAAAAUGCCCGACCAUUGAUCUUUCUCGAGUACCCCCAAAGCCUGACGAAUCCAUAAACUCCUGAAAAUUUAAAUUGGCAACCUCCUGAAAUUCCUGACGCUAAUUUCUUCCGUGGUCCAGAUUGCCAGAGCAGCUUCGGUCCUUCCUUUUCAUCUAUGUUUGCUACUUUGGAAUUUCCAAUUUCGUCGGUUCUUUUCUAUAUCUGCUAUUUACCCACUCUGAGGGAUCUUCAGGUGGUUCUACUUACUGGGCGAUUUUUCUUUCGUUUUUUUUUUUUUUUUGGUUGGAUGCUUACUGGGUGAUUGGGAAAGGGUUUAGUAUGGCUUCUUUUUUACAGAUGCAGAUCUUGUCUGACUUCAUUCUUUUCUAGUUAGCUCGAAGUUGUCUCCUCUCUUGUAGCUCAGAAUAAGAGAUGCCUAGAGAGGUUGAUCCAUUUCGGAGGCAUGUGGAGGUUGUGGCGAACAAGUGGAAGUGUAAGUUUUGUGGCAAGGAUUUUGGUGGAAGUGCUACAGGGAUCAGGGCACACCUCGUGGGGGCUCUGGACUAUGGUAUUAAACUAUGCGAGACAGUUGAUGAGCAUGUGGGAUCCCAAGCUUUGAAAGUGAUUAAAGGUAAAAGUGUGGCGGAUGCAACCAACAGGGGAGGCGCAUCUAUUGAGGUAAUGGGACGAAGAAGUGACGGCAUGGGCCAAAUUGUAGUCCUUGGUAGUGACCAUGCUUCGAGUCCCCAUAGUAUGCAGGACUCGAAUCGAAACGUCCUAGAGCAACCAUCUUGCCAUUGGCAGAAUGGAAGUGUUGCUGGUGCAGCUUCAGUAGAUUGUCAGUAUCAAGAGACCUUGUGUCUCGUUGGCAUGCCAGUGCGUGAUGCAGAAUUGCCCCCGCAAGGGCCGCAACCCAAUGGGUCAAUUCAACGCUUGAAUGAUGAACAUGGAAACGAAAAAACUUCAUCUCUCCAGCAACCUGCAACCGAUCCUUUGGCUUCGAUUUUUCUUGAUCCAAAGUCAACUACCAGAGCUCUUUGAUCAGUGUAUUGAUCUGGAGACGAGGCAUGAACAACGGAAUAGUAGAGGGCCAUCACCAUUGCAAAGUCAUCGAUCCCUUAAUAACAGCGUGACAAAUGAGUUGCAUCAAGUCAACUAGACCUGGUGGUGCUGCGCCUGGUCCCCGUCUCAGUGACACAAGUACAAUUGGCACUCCCCAGCAUCCCAAUCAAAACUAAUUUGGGCUUUGAUGAACAAUGGAGAGGUGAAAAUGCUCCAUGUCCGCAAAAUCUUCAGCAGAGUGGGUGACUUAUCUUCUCGAUAUGCCCUAUCAGCCACAGCAUUCCAUUCCAUCUUGUUAUUCUGAGGAAAUGCCAAUGAAUGACCUGCAGAAUCGAAUGGGUCCAUUGUCAUCACAAAAUGAUCAAUCCCUUGACGUUCAAAUUGUUUGCAAGACUGCAAUUAAAUCCCUAUUGCCGAAGUAGUUCCGCUGUCCAAUGCUACAAGCGUAACCAAUGCCGUUGAGCAUUUUAGUCGACAGCCACUUCUUAUACGUGAUGAAGAAUGUGAAAAUGAGAGUAGUUCCUUUCCCUCACAAGCUUCAAUGGACAUAUCUCCGCCAAGUGCAUCACAGCCUUCCUCUGGCCCUCAUUCUUUUGAGAAACCGGACGUAGAUUCCCAAGUUCCACAGGGCGGAACUAACAAGGCCCAUUGUCAUUACAAGGUAUGCGUUGAAGUGAUCCUUCUCUUCUCUUUUCUACUGUCUCCUAUUUAACAUCUCCCACGUUUUCCUAAUUAUAGGCGUAUCCUUGAAUGUUUCAUAUGUGUACUUUCUCUUAUUUUUUAAUGAUGAAUGUUAUAUGAGAAUAUCAAACGGAUGUAAAUGUUAGUUUCAGUGUAGAUGUUUUGUGGGAUUAAGUCUAGAUUUUGACUCUACUUACGCUUGUGGCUUGUUUUGAAAAUUCAAUGGUUGAUUGAUCAGGAUUGUUAAUGAUGAUUUUAAUCUGCUUUACUUUUGCAACCAGCUUCCAGGCACCCUCCAUGUCAAAGUCUUCUAGAUCAACCUCUUAAUCUUGAGACGAUGAACACAGAGCAUCACCCAAGCGUGUCAUCGUCAUCAUCACAGAGUAACCAGUUCUUGAUUACAUGUUUCCCACAAGCUCCGAUGGACAUAUCUGUGAGUAGUCCAUCAUCACCGCGAGGUACAUGUUAAUUCAUCUAAAUUGAUCCUUAUGUAUCCUGAUGCUACUUAAUUAGGGAGAAGCAUGAGUGCUUACAUUAGGAUCUAACACGUAGAAUUCUUGAUUCACAAUUAUCUAUUAAUAGAGUCAUUCAAACGCUGGCAACUUUGAAAAUAAUGGAGCUUUGAAAAGAAAGGUAGAAUGACUCUACAAUAGAGAAGCUGACAUAAAGAAUGAGUUGGAAUUUGCUGCAUCUCUAUCUCUGAAGAAGCAGAGAAUAGAAGUUGUGAAUUGGUUGACAAACGUGGAAAAGCAGAGGAAAAAUUUCCAAAGUCUUGAACCAGCCAGCGCAGAAAAUUUGCGACCACAAUAACAGGUGGACAUGUUGAUGGAAGAAGCGGGAAGACCUUAUCAUAAAAAGCAAAUUUCCAGAAGGACCGUUUGAGGUGGGAGAUGCCAAAGUCAAUAUAUUAUUAGAACGAAAGUUGCAGGCGGGAAAGGCAUUUGAGACAAAUAAAUACUAAGAAGAUCUUGAGGUGCCUAAUAGAGGAUCGCAUAUCAUGAUUAGGCAUUUACAAUAUGGGAGGUGUCGGGAAAACAACCAUUAUGGUGCACAUACAUAAUAGGCUCCUAGAAAAAGCAAACCAUAUUAAUGUAUUGUGGAUUGCUGUGUCACAAGAUCUCAACGUUUAUAAGUUGCAAGGUGACAUUUAGAAAAAAUUUCAUGCAUGGGUGUUAAUUUGGAUAAUGCUUACUAUUUAUUAAAACAUUGAAAAUAUAUCAUUUCGUAGAUUCUAAGAAGGAAUAAUAAUAAAAAAUUAAAGUAACGUGAGGUGGAGUAAAAACAAUCACAUCUUUAAGGGGUAAUAUCACCGAAAACCCAAAACUGGUACAUAUGCUCUAAAAUUAUUUUUAAACUUAAAUUGAUAUAUUUAUGGUAAAUUUAUCCUUUAAUAAUUUUCAUUAAAUUUUACAAUUAAAUUAUUAAGUUGGAUGACAUGUGGUAAUUGAUGAGUAUAUCAAUUUGGGAUUUUACCUUCAAUUUAUCAUAUGUGUAUGAAUUUGUAGUUUUUUGUAGUAUUAAUCAAAUGUAACGGAAAUCAAUGGAUGAUAAAUUUGUCACAAAUUCACAAGUUUUGAAUUUUUGGUGUAAAAAUUAGUUCGAGAUAAAUUUAUUACAUGUGUAAUAAUUUGGGAUUUUUGUAAUAUUAACCCUAUUUAAUUAGAGUAGAUUAAAAAAGGAUAUGAUAAAAUUAUAAGUGGUUUUUUUAGUUUAUAGAUAUAAAAUUCGGUCACGUCAAUCUAAGUACUAUUGAGGCACGUUAUUAAGGGGUCUAAUCGUCUCAUUCAAAAGGGCAUUUUCGGAAGAUAAAGUGCUGGUCAGGAGAGCUUUAUAAAUAGUGAUGUGGCUUCUUAUAAAACGUUUUUUGUCCUGACUUGGUAUGAAACGUUUUUUGUCCUGACUUGGUAUAAAACGUUUAAAUGUUUUAUACGAAGUCAGGAAAGUUUUGUCAGAAGUGACGCGGCUUCUUUCUUAUAAAAUGGCCCCAAAGGAUGCCCCACUCGACAUCACAGCACGGAGAGACGGAGGAGUAGAGAGAGAGAGAGGUGAAGAGCGACGACGGUGGAUUGCAGCCCGUCGAAAGAAAGGGUCGAGCGACGCCUGAAAUCUCCAUUUCCGAGCACCAGGCAAGAGAUUUUACCUCUAUUUCUCACGAGUUUGCGAUUUUCGUUUUUUUAAAAGUUUAAUAUCCGGACCUAUGUAGGGUUUUGCUUUACCGGCAACGCUUCGGCCGCCAAAAUCCAACCAUAUUUUGAUUACCCACAUCUCCUUGAGUCUAGAGGGAUUUCGCAGAGUUGUAGUUGGAGUCAGAUUCGAGAGAAACGAACUCUCCAAGUCCUCCUCUCUGCGCCGCAGGUGAAGAGUGUGUGCCGCCUGACUUCUUGGCUAAGCCACCUUUCGGGGCGGCGACCUGUCGAAUCUCGUAAUUCUAGAAUUAAUUAUUUUCUUGAGAAGGGAGUCCGCAAUUCCCAAGGUGUCUUUGAGUUAGAUCGGGUGUUUUUCGUCUCAGAAACAGCAAAUUGUUCUUGGGUCUGUUGGAUAGUAAUGUGCAGUUUGGCUUUCCCGCUUUAGUACUUGCGGAUGCUAGUGUUUGCUUUACACAAGAUCGGUGGGUUAUAUAGUUGGGUGCGCUCUCUUUGCCUGCAGGUUGAUAAUCAAGACAACAAGAUGCCGCGACCUGAAGAUAUAGCCUGGAAAUUCGUGCUUAGACUGGAGGGCAAGAGAUGGCGUUGUCCUUACUGCCAUAAAGAAUCCUCUGGAUCAGUCACAAGAGUGAAAAGUCACUUUCUUAAACAAGCAAAAGAAGGGAUUGCCUAUUGCACAAAAGUGCCAGAGCACAUACGAACACUAAUGGAAUUGUUACUCAAUCAUGAGGUGACUUUAGUACUUGUAGUAGCUACAUUAUCUGCUUGAGAAUAGUGCUAUGCGCACUAAGAAGAUGUAUAAAAAAUAGGGAUAAUAUAUGAUGGGGUGCGCUCUAUUUGCUUGCAGGUUCGUAACAAAGAGGAUAUAGCUUGGAAAUUCGUCAAUAGAUUGGAGGACAGCAAAUGGCGAUGUCAUUACUGCAGUGUAGAAUUCUCUGGAGACCUGACAGGACUGAAAGGUCACUUGCUUGGAGUCCCAAAUGAAGGGACUUCCAUUUGCACACAAGUGCUGGACCACGCAAGAGCACUAAUGCUGUUGUUACUCGAUGAGGUGGCUGAAGAAGAGAGCAGAGAGGUGGCUGAAGAACAGAGCAGAGAAGCCCACGGUCAAUCCUCCAUCGAACCAAAUUCCCGUGACAUGCCGAGUCAAGCUGAGGUGGCUGAAGAAGAGAUCAGAGAAGCCAACCGUCAAUUUUCCACGGAACCACAGUCGCCUGACAUGCUGUCUCCAGCUGUUCCUCGCUCAUCACAAAGCUUGGAAGAUAUAGAAAACUUAUUCACAACAACAGAGGGGGCGACCGACUUGGGAAACUUAGACUAUAACCUAGAGCGUCAAUUUUAUGAGACUUUGGCAAUGCCGCCACCGGCACAAAAUAUCCAUGGUAUGUUCAUGUGAAGUUUCCAUCGAUGCAUCUAGGCAUGGAGAAAAUAUAUCUAUUGUAUUUUUCAAUGCAAACGCGUCGGGUUUUUUUAACCAAAGUGGCGACUUUUAAAAAUCUUCUAUAAAAAUGAUCUUCCUACGGGACUUUCCAAAUGUGAAGAAAGUCAAUCACCUAUUCCUUAACAACAGUACGCAUUGAAUGUGUUGCAUGUGCCGAUCGGACCCACGGGAUGCAAUAAACUACAGUACGCAUUUUCUCGUGUUCCAAUCAGCCAUAUCCUAAUUUUGAUAAACAACACACAGGUGAAAGCUUGUCACGUUCAGCGAUGGCUUUAGCAGAAGGAGAAUCGUUUCUUCUUGAUUCGCCAUGUCAGCCACAAUGUUCCAAUCGAUCUCCUUAUCCCGAGGAAAUGCAAAUGAAUGACCACCGAACUCCAGCCGGGGCAUUAUCAUUCCAGUAUGUUCCAUUACCUGCUGUAGGUAAUUCAAAUUGCUUCCAGGACUGCAAUGACUCUCAAUUGCAAACUCCAGUGGACGUAAAUCCCUCAAUUACAUCACAGCGUACAAAUCACAUUACUGGGGCACAAAUCAAUGAUUCGAAAGUUCCAGAGGCGGCAACAAAUACAAUGGGCCCAUCAUCAUCACAAGGUUUGUAUGGAUUAAUCUACAUUGCUACUAUGGUUAUGUUAGAUCCUUGAAUAUCUCCAUAUUAUUUUAUCGAAAUCUAACAUAUGAUUUUUUAAACAAGAUAGGAACAUGGAUUAUCCAAUCAAGAACAUGCUGAGCAUCACUGCAUAUUCUAUAUGUCCGAUAUCACUUUUUAUCACAUUAUUACUUUCUUCAAAAUAUUUAACUCUAAUGCGGUCGUUACUCGAUGAGGUGGCUGAAGAAGAGAGCAGAGAGGUGGCUGAAGGACAGAGCAGAGAAGCCAACCGUCAAUCCUCCACAGAACCACAAUCACGUGACAUGCCCACUCAUGCUGAGGUGGAGGCUGAAGAAGAGAGCAGGGAAGCCAACGGUCAAUUUUCCACGGGGCCUUUAUUCUCACCAGGAUUCCUCCUCGAAGAUAUGGAACAGUUAAACUUCAGCCAACAGGAUGUCAUUUGGUUAAACUCUGCCCAACAAUCACAAACAGAGCGUCAGUUUCAUCAGAGUUCAACAAUGCCGUCACAGGUGCAAAAUAGCCAUGGUAUGUCCAUGUAAAGUUUUUAUACAUUCAUCCAGGCGUGGAGAAAAGAAAAAUCAUUAUAUUUUUCGUAUUAGUAACUCUCUCUAUAAUAACUCAAUUUCAUCCGCUUCCAUAUCGUAUCGAUUCCAAAUUACAGUUGUAUCAUCGCAUAUUCUAUAUGUCCGAUAUCAUUAUCUUUUUACCGCACCGUUUAUUUCAUCAAAAUAUUUACUUAUGAGCAUAUGUUGACUUUCGCUAUAAAUAUAUUUUUUUUAAAUCGAGUUCUAGACGUUCGUUUUACCUGUACCCAUGGCUUGAUUUAAAAGUCCCAUUGUUGAUUUAUUUUACGCUUGCCUUUUUUAGUGCAACCAGUUUUGGUGGCCCCUCAACAUCAAAAUGCUCCACAUCAAUCCGAGACAAGGAAUGUGCUGCAGAAUCCAACUGCACAAUCAUCAACAGCUCUAAGGGAUAUGGAUUUACGUAUCCAAUCUUCAUCGCAAGCUUCAAAUGCUGCUCCACAGUGGCCGACAGACGUUUCAAACUUCAACCAACAGGAUAUUAAUGAGCUAAACUCUGGUCAACAAUCACAAGCAGAGCGUCAAUUUCCUCAGAGUUCAACAAUGCCGUCACUGGCACAAAAUAGCCAUGGUAUGUUCAUGUGAAGUAUCUAUACAUUCAUCUAGGCGGGGAGAAAAACAUCUAUUAUAUUUUUCAACGCAAACACGUGGGAUUUUUUAACGGAAGUGGUGACUUUUAAAUAUCUCCGAUAAACAUGCUUUUUCCACACAACUUUUCAAAUAUGAAGAGAGUCAAUAACCUAUUCCUUAAUAACAGUACAUCCAAUGUGUUGCACGUGGCCACUAGACCCACUGGAUCCAGUAAACUAACUACAAUAAGUAUUCUCUCAUGUUCCAAUCAAUCAUAUCCUAAUUUUGAUGAACAACACACAGGCGAAAGUUCCACGAUGGCUUCAACGGAAGAAGUGCCGAAUUCUCAUAAUUUGCUAUGUCAACCACAUUGUUACAUUCAAUCUCAAAUACAAAUGAAUGACCAGCAUACAAGUGACUCUCACAUUAUUGAGCCAACAACGGUUGAUUCGCAAGUUCCAGAGGCGGCACCAAAUGCAACGGGCCCAUCCUCAUCACAAGGUGCGUUUGGAUUAAUCUUCAUUGUUACUAUAUGGUUCCACUAGAUUCUUAAAAAUCCCCAAAUUAUUUUAUCAAAAUCUAACAGAUGUUUUUUUAUAAAUUAGAUAUGAACAGGGGUUCUCCAGUCAUGGACGUACGGAGCAACUAUGCCAACGAUGAAGAGAUAAGAAACCUGAAAAGAAAAGUGGAAGAACUCGAUGACAAAGACGCUGUCAUAAAGGAGCAGAUGGAGAUAGAGUCUGCUGCUUCCUCACUUCGGAAGAAGCCGAGGAUAUUGGUUGAUAGAUGGCUAAAAGAGACAGAAAGAGCAAGAAAUAAUUUCCAAAUAAUUGGCCAAGCCAAUGCGGAAACUUUGCCACCAAAGGAACAGGUGGAGAAAUUGACGAGAGAAGUGGAAGAACUCAUAGGAAAAACGCUUCCACAACCACUGCUCAUAGAAGAGAGAGAUGCCAAAGGAGUCAAACUUUUGGAACGAAAGUUAACAGGUGAAGGGAUUCAUAGGAACAUUGAGUUGAUUUGGGACCGUCUGAAGGAGAAUCAUGCAUGCAAAUUGGGUAUUUAUGGAAUGGGUGGUGUUGGGAAGACAACUAUUAUGAUGCACAUACAUAAUAGACUUCUCGAAGAUGCAACCUUCGAUGGUGUGGUUUUUAUCACUGUGUCUCAAGAUUUCAGCAUUAAGAAGUUGCAGAGUGAUAUUUGGAAGGCAUUAAAAUGUGGCGUUAUGGAGGAUGAGGAUGAGAAGAAACAAGCAGCGAUAUUGUCGGAGCAUUUAGAAAGAAAGAAGAAUUGUGUAUUGAUUCUUGAUGAUGUGUGGGAACGUCUUGAUCUUGAAGAGGUGGGAAUCCCUGUUAGAGCUGAUGGAUGUAAGUUGAUCUUAACCAGUCGAUCCUAUUAUGUGUGCUGCCAGAUGCAAUGUCAAGAGAAGAUAAAAAUUAAACCUCUAUCUCAAAUAGAAGCCGAGAGUCUAUUUUUGGAGGAGCUUGGAUCCGAAGUUCCACUUAAUUCGGAAACUGAAGCAAUUGUGAAGUCCAUUGUUGAAGAAUGUGCUGGAUUGCCAAUUGGAGUCAUCACGAUGGCAAGAAGCAUGCGAGGAGUGACUGAUGUGUUUGAAUGGAGGGAUUCCUUGGUUAAAUUGGAAGAAUCAAGUAAGGGGCAAACAGAUAUGGAGAAGAAGGUCUUAAUGAAUCUAAAAUUUAGUUAUGAUCGCCUUGGUAAUCCUGAUGUGCAACAAUGCUUCUUAUCUUGUGCACUUUAUCCAGAAGAUGAAUUGAUUGAUAAGUUCGAGUUGGUAGAAUUCUUUAUUGACCAAGGAUUGAUUGGUGGAUUGAAUGCGUGGACAGAACAAUAUGAUAGAGGCCUCACCAUAUUGAACAAACUACGAAAUGUUUGCCUAUUGGAAGAUCAUGGGAGCGAGACGAAGAUGCACGAUUUGAUUAGAGACAUGGCAUUGCACAUCAUGAGUGCAACUUCCAUUGUAAAGGCAAGAAAGUGGUUGGAAAGUAUUCCAUCUGAGGAAUAUUGGACAGAUGCUUUGGAGAAAGUUUCUCUGAUGGGAAGCAAAAUAAGUGAAAUGUCACCAAAUUGUCCUAAACUAUCAACUUUACUACUGAAUGGAAGCUUGUUAGAGGAUGCGGUCCUCCCUGGUUCUUUCUUCAAACAGUUAUGUGGGCUAAAGGUCCUAAACCUGAGUGACUGUGAACUAACGGAACUUCCAAAUUCCAUCUCAGAUUUGGUAAACUUGAGGGCACUAUUGCUUAGAAGGUGUCGGGAAUUGUGCCAUAUUCCUUAUUUAGGCAAGCUCACAUCUUUAAGGAAGCUGGACGUUAGUGACUGUUUUGAGCUUGAAGAAGUGCCCGAGGGUCUGGAAAUGUUGGUGAACUUGAGAUACCUUGACCUAUGUUUUUCAUUGACCGUUGAAUUACCUAAAAUAAUACUGGGGGGUUUGCUAAACUUGCAGCAUCUUAAAGUUUAUUUUCUAGAUGGACAAGACAUGACAAAAUUGAGGGCACUGGAGACACUCAAAUGCUUUUUUGAAGAUGCGAAUGAUUUCAAUAAGUGUGUGAGGGUUAUUGAACAGAGUAACCUUCUCUGCUAUUAUUAUCUUUGUUAUUAUAUCGACAAAAAAUAUCAUGAUGAGGAAGAAUGUGAUAUUACUCAGGACAGGGAAGUCAAAAUUUGGGGGUGGGAUCAUGCUAUUGUGAGUGUGGGAGGGGAAUGCACCGGCAUUUUUAUUUUGAUUCCCCAAGACGUGCAGAAAAUGACGAUUUGUUGGAACGGUAUAACAAAUUUGUCUAGCAUAGGUCCGCUUGAAUACCUUGAGGAGCUAGAUAUAGAAGACUUAAACAACUUAGGGGUGCUCUGUGGAGGAGAAGACAAAGAAGUAAUCGACAUCUUUGCCCCAGCCCUUGCGCCUCUCCUCUUCUCGAGCCUUAGGGUUUUGAAAAUAUGGAGUUGUCCGGAACUGAAGUAUGUCUUUGGGCAUGGGUCUAAAUCCAACCUUCCACAUCUACGAGAGAUUGAAAUAGGGGGAUGUGAGGAGACGGUGGGGAUAAUAGCAGCAGUUACAUCCCCACCACCACAUCCGCUCCCAUUUUUCCCUAGUCUGGAACAGAUUAGCAUUACAGGCUGUUACGAGAUGAAGAGAGCGGUGGAAUCCGAGUGGAUGCCCCACUUCCCUAAUCUAAGAAGAAUCAAAGUAUCCGGAUGUGAGAUGGAGGAGAUAAUCGGAGGUCCUCCCCCAUACUCGCCGGAUGAACAGAUUUCUCUCGAAUCUCUUGAGGUAAGCUAUUGCGAUAAAAUGAGAAAGCUGCUUACGUAUGAGUGGCUGUUCCAUCUUCGAAAUCUUCAAAGUAUCUCUGUCACUUACUGCAAAGAAAUGGUGGAGUUGAUAAGCGGAGCGGGACAAGGCCAAGAAGGAAGCAUAACGACUUCUGUAAACAACACUCCUUCCUCCUUCCAGCCUUCUUCAAUUUCUCUCCCAAAGCUAGAGUGUUUGGAGCUACGCUAUCUACACCAGCUGAAGAGCAUAUGCGAAGUCCCAAUAAGCUGCGAUUUCAUGAAAAGAUUGGACGUGUGCAGAUGCCCAGAACUGAAGAGGAUUCCUUUGCAACUGCGAUUGUGUGAAAUUGAGGAGCUUCCGUAUAUUUUGGUGGAAGAUGAGGAAAAGUGGAAGACGUUGGUGUGGGAUCAUCCCAAUGCUCAGGCUAUUCUUCGACCUUAUCUCCGAAAAGGGCCACGCUGGCCUCCAAAUGCUAUAGGUUAAUGAGUUUAAUUGAUAUACGAUUGCUUCACUUCUUAAAAGUCCUUUCAAAGAUAUAGCUUUUCUGUCUAUAUAGUCAUGCAGCUCUAAUAGUGGCCUUCUGUAGUACUGAACACCAAGUGAAAGCAUCUCCUGCGACUCCACUCUUGAAGAAAGAACCCUGCUGCUCGACCAUGCUUUCCUGCAAACUUGACUCAGGUUGCCAUAUGAAUUGACUUUUUUUGUGUGGCCCUGCUUUGUCUAUUUUGAAUGCGAUCGCAUGUUUCAUUGACUACUGGAAAUGAGUCUAUCUGGUCGAUAUUUCAGGUUAGUCAAAAAGCAAUGGAUCUGAAGAUUUGGGAAGCCAAGGGAAUAACAAAGUCUGUUUCCUAUCUUGUCUUAUAACUGAAAGGACAAUUUAUUAUCAUGGAUUGAAUUUCUUGGGAUAUUAGCCUUCUAAGAAAAGAGAGAAUUUUGUGCAGCACUACCUUUAAUCUGUUUUUGUUUAAAAAGGAUUUCAAAUAUGAUAUUGCUUUAACUUGUCGAUCGAAAAUAUUGUGUCAAAUACGCUGCUUUGCUCUGUUGGAUCAGAGCAACAUGACCCCAAUUAAACUUGUUUCGACGUUAAACUAUCGGGUAUAGAAUACUUGAUCUGCUUAGUAGUUGUAUCAUAUCUGGAAACGUAGGCCGGGAAGUUUUCNNNNNNNNNNNNNNNNNNNNNNNNNNNNNNNNNNNNNNNNNNNNNNNNNNNNNNNNNNNNNNNNNNNNNNNNNNNNNNNNNNNNNNNNNNNNNNNNNNNNUACUUUGAAUUAGAAAUGUAAAAAGACGAAGAAGAAAGAAUUGCACAGCUAUCACCCUCUUUAAAUGCCUCGAAGUUGUGGAUAGAUGGAGAACCCUACAGCUUCAGCUCAAGUAACCAAAAAUCAGAGCAGUAACCACUAGCAAGUCAAUGGAAAAAAGGCCAGCUUAUAGGAUGUGGCACUUUUGAAAGUGUUUACAUUGCAAGCAACCAGUAAGUUAGCUCUGGGAAUCUUAGACAUGUUCCAUUUUUUUAGAUAUCCAGUCAGCUAAACUUUGACAUAUUAAGUGACAGAAAAACCAGAUCUCUAUGUGCAGAGAAGGAGUUUGAGCUAUUGCGUAAUGAUCCAAAUUUAGCUGAGUGCAUCGAGCAGUUAAAGCAGGUAAUGUUUUUGUUAUGCUCUGGGAUCCAAUCUAUCCUCUCAUCCGAUCUAAAUAUGCUGGGAGGAAACUUUCUUUCAUCAUUUCCAAGUAAUUGAUUGCUUUGUUACUACAGGAAAUUCAGGUACUUAGCCAGCAUAGACAUCCGAACAUUCUGCAGUAUUAUGUAAGGGAAAUUGUGAGUCACAUUUCCACAGCAUCUAUGCGUCCCAACUCAAUGGGCGUUCAUUAUUUGACUAACCAAAAUUUCAACAUAUUCAUACAUACUCAGGUUGAGGAUUGGCGUUACAUAUAUCUAGAAUAUGCACAUCACGAUUCAAUAGACAAGUAUAUCCAGGAGCGUCUUGGGACCCUAACAGAAUCGGUUGUCAGCACUUUACCCGCUAUAUUGUGGCUGGAUUGGCUUCCCUGCAUGUUUUUUUUGGUAAAGAGGCUUCCCUGCAUGUUAACAACUCCAUACAUGGGUAAUUUUAAACCAUUGAUCAAGCAUCAUGAGAUGACUUGCAUAUUGGAUUAGGAUGAUUGGACCUUCUUCUUUGUGCCCCCAGACCUGUUAAAACUAUUUGGCUUGUGCAGGGAUUUAAAGGGAGCUAAUUUAUUUGUGGAUGCAUCUGGGAUAUUCAAACUUGCUGACUUUGGGAUUGCUAAACAUGUGAGUUUUUACCUCUUCACCGCAAGACUACUCAGUGCAUGUAGAAAUUCCUUGCUGAUCUGUGGUACAUUCGAAUGUGAAGUCAGGGACCCAGGGUGACUGCAUACUUCUCGUUAUUGGUUUGUGGCAUUUCAUAUGUGCAUAAAUCUAUCAUAGAUGGAUGAAAUGUUAUUAAGUAAUUUUCUUCACUUUUUUUCCCAUUGUUUCAGGUAAAGUUACCAUGUUGCAUGAACGGGAAAAGAUUUCUUGCUGUAAAUAGAUGCCGAAACCUAAUGAGAGUUCCCUUUCUACUGGUUUCUAAAAAGUUCCUAAGAGCGGUAGUGAAUAGAACGCAAUACCUUUGGCAAAAGGUUGUGGUGUUGUUUUUGCUGCUCCUCUGCAUUCCAAAAUAAGGAUAGAACUUAGUCAGAGUAAGUAAGGGCCUCCUUCCUAACAUGGGGUAAAUAAAAGUUUAUUAAUCCAUAGAAUGGAAUUCUGGACAGUAGCCAAGGUGUUGUUGCUCUCUUUUUGAGUUCUCAAGCAUUUGCUGAGGCCAUGUUGUUGAUUGCUUCAUGGUCCUUUUUCUCAGUAAUGAGCUAACAUGAGUUGAAAGUGGUUGAUUCAGUUAUCAAUAUGAUGUAUCUAUGUCUAUAAAGAUGUUGCUAUUUUAUCCGGUGUUCCAUGAACACACCAAGUAGUAUUCAGCUUUACUAAUGCCGUACCAUUUCUUAGCUAACCGGACAAGCAGCUUGCCGCUCUUUGAAGGGAAGUCUAAACUAGAUGGCUCUAGAGGUACUCUGCUUUUGUUAACGUUAAUGCGGCAUACUCAGAGGUCCUCCCCCAUACUCGCCGGAUGAACAGAUUUCUCUCGAAUCUCUUGAGGUAAGCCUUUGCGAUAACAUGAGAAAGCUGCUUACGUAUGAGUGGCUGCUCCAUCUUCGAAAUCUUCAAAGUAUCGAGGUCACUGAGUGCAAAGGAAUGGUGGAGUUGAUAAGCGGAGCGGGACAAGGCCAAGAAGGAAGCAUAACGANNNNNNNNNNNNNNNNNNNNNNNNNNNNNNNNNNNNNNNNNNNNNNNNNNNNNNNNNNNNNNNNNNNNNNNNNNNNNNNNNNNNNNNNNNNNNNNNNNNNNNNNNNNNNNNNNNNNNNNNNNNNNNNNNNNNNNNNNNNNNNNNNNNNNNNNNNNNNNNNNNNNNNNNNNNNNNNNNNNNNNNNNNNNNNNNNNNNNNNNNNGGAGCUUCCGUAUAAAACCUGUUCAUUCCCAUUUCCAGCAGCAGGCGAGUGCCCUUGUUUCUCUAGGAAUUGGGUUUCUGCCUUCAACGAGAGGAAGAGUCUUUGCUCGAUCCCUGGAUGCUGACUGGUGCUUCAGAUUCUCAAGAACAGCUUCUUAGCUCUACUUCUAUUUGUGCAUCUUUGCUACUUGCAUGCAUCUGAAUCUUCUUUUUCUGUCCUAACCGGUAUGUUGCUUCGUCCUCAUCUUUGCCAUUUUCCAUUUGUAAGAAUCAAAUAGAGACUCCAACUGAACAUCCUUAUUUGCCUGGAUCAAAUAUGUGCCCACUUAACAAGUAGAUCUGAUGGAUUCUAUGCGAAAUGAAGGGUUAAAUGACCUGAAUGUAGGUGGGUGGACUUAACUGUGAGAUGCAAUAAACUUCUCGAAGAGAGACCAAGAAAUAGAGAGAGAAGGGGCGAGAAGAGAAAGAGAGGAAGAGCGACAACGGUGGAUUGCAGCCCGUCGAAAGGGUCGUGCUACGCCACAAAUCUCCAUUUUCGAACACUAGACAAGGUUGUUCUAGCUCUAUUCCUCACGAACUUGGGAUUUUUGUUUGUAAAGUUAAUAUCCGGAUCUAUUUUGUAUUUUGCUUUGCUGGCAACGAUUCGGUCAAAAUCCAACGAUAUUUCGAUUCCCCACAUCUCCUUGUAAUUCUAGAAUUAAUUAUUUUAUAGAGAAUGUAGUCCGCAAUUCCCAAGUUGUCUUUGAGUUGAUCCGGUGCUUCUUGUGUCAAAAACAGGAGAUUAUUCUUGGGUCGUUGAAUAUAAUUUGCAGUUUGGCUCUCCUGCUUUAAUACUUGUGAUGCUGUUAUUUGCUUGNNNNNNNNNNNNNNNNNNNNNNNNNNNNNNNNNNNNNNNNNNNNNNNNNNNNNNNNNNNNNNNNNNNNNNNNNNNNNNNNNNNNNNNNNNNNNNNNNNNNAUGCUAUGCGCGCUGAGAAAUAUUCAAAUGAUCUCUACGUUAUAUGAUCAAGUGCACUUUCUUUGCCCGCAGGUUGAUAAUCAAGACGGCAAGAUGCCGCGACUUGAAGAUAUAGCCUGGAAAUUCGUGAUUAGACAGGGCAAGAAAUGGCGUUGUCCUUACUGCAAAAUUGAAUACUCUGGAUCAGUCACAAGAGUGAAAAGUCACUUUCUUAAACAACCAAAAGAAGGGAUUGUCUCUUGCACAAAAGUGCCGGAGCACAUAAGCACGCUAAUGGAAUUGUUACAGAGUCAGGUGGCUUUAGCACUUGUGGUAGCUAUAUUAUGUGCUUGAGAAUAAUGCUAUGCGUGCUAAGAAGAUUUAUAAAAAAUGGGGAUAAUAUAUGAUAGGGGUGCGCUCUAUUUGCUUGCAGGUUGAUAACAAAGAUGAUAUAGCCUGGAAAUUCGUCGAUAGACUGGGGGAAAACAAAUGGCGUUGUCAUCACUGCAGGGAAGAAUUCUUUGGAGACCUUACAGGAGUGAGAGGUCACUUGCUUGAAGCCCCAUAUAAGGGGAUUUCCAUUUGCACAGAAGUGCCAGACCACGUAAGAACGCUAAUGCGGUCUUUACUCGAUGAGGUGGCUGAAGGAGGGAGCAGAGACUUGGCUGAAGAACAGAGCAGAGAUGCGGAGCCACAGUCGCGUGACGUGCUGUCUCCAGCUUUUCCUCCGUCAUCACAAAGCUCGGAGAGGGCGACUGACAUGGAAAACUCCAACUAUGACCUAGAGUGUCGUUUUCAUGAGACUUCAGCAAUGCCGUCACUGGCACAAAAUAUCCUUGGUAUGUUCAUGUGUUUCUAUACAUGCAUCUAGGCAUGGAGAAAAAACAUCCAUUAUAUUUUUCAAUGCAAACACGUCGGGUUUUUUAACCGAAGUGGAGACUUUUAAACAUCUCCAAUAAAAACGAUCUUUCUACGGAACUUUACAAAUGUGAAGUAAGUCAAUUACCUAUUCCUUAAUAACAGUGCAUUGUCCACUGGACUCACUGGAUCUAAUAAACUAACCAUAGAAGGCAUUUUCUCGUGUUCCAAUCAACCAUAUCCUAAUUUUGAUGAACAACACACAGGUGAAAGCAUGUCAUGUUUGCCAAUGACUUUAGCGGGAGUGGAAUCGUUUCUUUUUGAUUUGCCAGAACGGUCACAAUGUUCCAUUCAAUCUCAAAUGCAAUUGAAUGAUCAGCAGACUCCAGCAGGGACAUUAGCAUCCCAUUAUGAUCAAUUACCUGCUGCAGGUAAGUCAAAUUGCUUGCGGGAUAGUAAUCAGCACUCUCAAUUGCAAAUUCCAGUGGACAUAGAUCCCUCAAUUGCAUCACAGCAUACGAUCGACUCUCACGUUAUUUGGGUAACAAUCCUUGGUUUGCCAAUUCCAGAGGUGGCAGCAGAUACAAUAGGCCCAUCAUCAUCAUCACAAGAUGUGUCUUGAUUAAUCUAAAUAGAUACUAUCAUUUCGUUAGAUCCGUAAAUAUCCUCAAAUUAUUUUAUUGAAAUUUAACAUAUGUAUUUUUGUAAAAUAGAUAUGAACAGGGGUUCUCCAAUCAUGAACGUACGGAGGACACCACAACCUCGCAGAUGGAUGGAACAGGUGGUGCAGGAGGACAGGGCGGUCGACAUCGCAAACCUCCCAUCGGAUGGUGCAACAAAUCACUCUAUCGCAUCUCCCCUGCCAAAUUCAUUGCUUGAUGAUGGGCCAAAUGAACUGUUGCCCAUUUUACCUGGGUAUCUAACAUUAAAUCCACAACGGUAUCAAUGUGCGUCAUUGCCAGCACAAAACCACCAGCUCCUUGAUAAUACUUUUCAGAAUGAGUCACGGGGGUCCAUUUUGCCUGGUCUCAUUGCAUCAGAUGCUCCACUCACUAACGUGGCCACAACAAACACUGCCCGGCAUUUUAAUCAACCAGAUCAGACCUUUCACAGGCAGUGUGAAGGUGGCACUGGCUUAUCUCCUCUACCGCUUUCCAUGGACAUAGAGCCACCUCUUCCAUCACGACCUUUCAAUGGACCUCCUAUUAUUGAGCCAUUUAAUUCCCCUCCGCAGAUUCCAGAGGACAUCUUAAACACAACUGGCCCAUCAACACCGGAAGGUAUAAUACCAUCGAUCUAUUAAAUGGGUCUCGAUAACGCUUAUUAACAAAAUCCAUAUUAUAUUUAUCAUUCAUGUGGUCUCUUGUAAACCCCAUGUUGCUUCUAUGGUGAGUAAGAAUGUUUCAAUUGGAGUCUAAUGCAUGAAGUUGUGGCUUAUAAAUUAGUGAUGCCAGAAGGUGCACCAGCAGGGACAUCAUCAUUCCAGUAUGAUCAAUUGGUGUAGGUAAUUCAAAUCUGGAUUGCAAUCAGCCACGUAUAUCUAGUGUAACAAGUGUAGCCAACACUGUCCCGCAUUCUAACCUAUCAUUCGAAGCUGCAAUGAAGAAUGUGGAACUAAAACCAGUUCGUUUCCCCUGCGAGAUUCGAGGGGCAUAUGUCCCAUCACUGCAUUACGGCCUAUUAGGUGCCCUCACAUCGAGGCAACACUUGUCAAUUUGCAAGUUCUGGAGAAUGGAGCAAAUAUGGCUGGCCCGUAACCAUCACAAGUGACUGUCUUGAUUUACCUAAAUAGAUAGUCAUUCCAAAUUAAUCAUAGGUAUUCCAACUCGAGUGAGCGUUGAUGUUUUCAUUGCAGAAGUGAUCCUUCUUUGUAUUAUUAACUCUCUUUUAGUAUGACUCAAAUUCGUCUAUUUCCAUAUCUAAUCUUUUCUCAAUUACCGUAGUAUCAUUGCAUGUUAUGUUUGUCCAACAUCACUUACUUUACGGCAUGGUUUUUUCAUCAAAAUAUUUUACUUAUCUGCAUGUUGAUUUUCCUUGUGGAUGUCUUUUGUGACCAAGUUCUAUGUUGUUUUACCUGUGUGCAUGGACACUCCAAUAUCUUAGUGCAACCAGCUCUGGUGCCCCCUCAACAUCAAAGUGUUCCACAUCAAGCUCCAAAUAAUACUCCUUCAGCUCCUCAGAUUCAACGUCGUGGAACAGGUCUGAUAGUCCCAUCGUCAUUGCCAGGUAUAUAGUUAUUUACCUAAAUUAAUCCUUAUGCAUCGAUCACCAUGUUAUGUUAUUAAGGGAAGCAAGAAUGCUAUAAUGAGACCGAUGGAUUUAAUUGCAGAAUUAGAUAUGAGCAAGGGUGUGCCACUAACGAGUCACACAAACAUAAACAACAACUUUGAAAAGAGUAGAGCUUUGAAAAGAAAAAUAAAGCAACUCUACAGUAGAGAAGCUGACAUAAGGGAUGAGUUAGAAUUUGCCGGGUCUCUAUCACUAAAGAAGCAGAAAAAGGAAGUUGAGAAUUGGUUGGCGGAUGUGGAGCAGCUCAGAAAAGAUUUUCAGAGUAUUGAAGCAACAAGUGAGGAUUGUUUGCCGUCACACCAGCAGGUGGAUACACUGACGCAACAAGCAGAAGACCUUAUGAAACAAGGCGAAUUCCCAAAAGGACUAUUUGGGGCGAGAAAGACCAAAGUCAAUAAGUUGAUAGAACGAAAGUUGGUGGGAGAGGCAUUUAAGAGAAAUACAACAAAGAUUUUGGAGUACUUAGUAGGGAGUCAAAUAUCCCGACUAGGCAUUUAUGGAAUGGGGGGUAUUGGUAAAACCACUCUUAUGAAGCACAUACAUAAUAGACUUCUCGAAAAAGCAAAUCAUGAUAAUGUGUUGUGGAUCACCGUGUCACAAGAUUUUAACACACAAAAGUUGCAGAACGACAUUUGGGAGGCACUAAAUUUAGGCACACUACAAGAAAAGGAGGUGGGGCAACGAGCAGCAAUGUUGUCCGCUGUUUUAACCGAAAGAGAGAAGUUGAUCAUAAUCCUUGAUGAUGUGUGGGAAGAUUUCAAUCUUGAAGAGGUGGGAAUCCCUGUUAGAGAAGAUGGAAAUAAGUUGGUCUUAACCACUCGAUCCCUUGAAGUAUGCCGCCGGAUGCAAUGUCAAGAAAUAAAAAUCGAACCUCUAUCUCUAGAAGAAGCUGAGGAUUUAUUUUUUGAGGAGCUUGGAUCCAAAGUGGCCCUUAAUUUGGAAACAAUUGUGAAGUCCAUUGUUAAAGAAUGUGCAGGCUUGCCACUUGGAGUCAUCACGAUGGCAGCAAGCAUGCGAGGAGUGACGAAUGUGUCUGAAUGGAGAGAUUGCUUGGAGAAAUUGAAAGAAUCAGAUGCCCCAACGGAGAUGGAAAAGAGAGUCUUAAAGCAACUAGAAGUCAGCUACGAUCGCCUUGAGAAACGUGAAGUUCAACAGUGUUUCUUAUCUUGCGCACUUUAUCCAGAAGAUAGAUUGAUUGAUAAGGUCGAGUUGAUAGAAUUCUUUAUUGACCAAGGACUGAUUUGUGGAUUGAAUAUGAAUACGAGGGAGAAAGAAUAUGAUAGAGGCUUCACCAUAUUGAGCAAACUGGAAAAUGUUUGCCUAUUGGAAGAUUAUGGAGAAAACAUGAAGAUGCACGAUUUGAUUAGAGACAUGGCAUUGCACAUCAUGAGUGCAACUUCCAUUGUAAAAGCAGGAAAGUGGUUGGAAAGUAUUCCAUCUGAGGAAUAUUGGACAGAUGCUUUGGAGAAAGUUUCUCUGAUGGAAAACGAAAUAAGUGAAAUUCCAUUGAACAUGUCACCAAAUUGUCCUAAACUAUCAACUUUACUACUGAAUGGAAGCUUGUUAAAGGAUGCGGUCCUCCCUGGUUCUUUCUUCAAACAGUUAUGUGGGCUAAAGGUUCUAAACCUGAGUGACUGUGAACUAAUAGAACUUCCAAAUUCCAUCUCAAAUUUGGUAAACUUGAGGGCACUAUUGCUUAGAGAGUGUCGGGAAUUGUGCCAUAUUCCUUAUUUAGGGAAGCUCACAUCUUUAAGAAAGUUGAACGUUGGUGGCUGUUCUAAGCUUAAAGAAGUGCCCGAGGGUCUGGAAAUGUUGGUGAACUUGAGAUACCUUGACCUACGUUUUUCAUCGACCGUUGAAUUACCUGAAAGAGUACUAGGGGGUUUGCUAAACUUGCAGCAUCUUAAAGUUUAUUUUCUAGAUGGACAAGACAUGACAAAAUUGAGGGCACUGGAGACACUCAAAUGCUCUUUUGAAGAUGCGAAUGAUUUCAAUAAGUGAACAGAGUAACCCUCGCUGUUAUUAUUAUCUCGGCAUGGCUCAAAAAGAUAUUUCUUAUUAUCGUGAAGCAUGUUAUUCUACUCAUGAGGAAUACCGUGAUAUUACUCAAAUUGAGAAUCGGAAGAGGGAAGUCAAAAUUUGGGGGUGGGAUCAUGCUAUUGUGAGUGUGGGAGGGGAAUGCACCGGCAUUUUUAUUUUGAUUCCCCACACCCGUGCAGAAAAUGACAAUGAUUGGUUGCGACGGUAUAACAAAUUUGUCUAGCAUAGGUCCGCUUAAAUACCUUGAGGAUCUAUGUAUAGGAUACUCAGAAAACUUAGGGAUGCUCUGUGGAGGAGAAGACGAAGAAGUAAUCGACAUCCUUGCCCCAGCCCUUGCGCCUCUCCUCUUCUCGAGCCUUAGGGUUUUAAAAAUAUAUGAUUGUCCAAAACUGAAGUAUCUCUUUGGGCAUGGGUCUAAAUCCAUCCUUCCGCAUCUACGAGAGAUUGAAAUAUAUGGAUGUGAGAAAAUGGUGGGGAUAAUAGCAGCAGUUACAUCCCCACCACCACAUCCGCUCCCAUUUUUCCCUAGUCUGGAACAGAUUAGCAUUAGUCGCUGUAACAAGAUGAAGAGAGCGGUGGAAUCUGAGUGGAUGCCCCACUUCCCUACUCUGAGAGGAAUCACAGCAAUUUAUUGUGAGAAGAUGGAGGAGAUAAUCGGAGGUCCUCCCCCAUACUCGCCGGAUGAACAGAUUUCUCUCGAAUCUCUUGAGGUAAGCCGUUGCUAUAACAUGAGAAAGCUGCUUACGUAUGAGUGGCUGCUCCAUCUUCGAAAUCUUCAAAGUAUCGUGGUCAGUCACUGCAAAGGAAUGGUGGAGUUGAUAAGCGGAGCGGGACAAGGCCAAGAAGGAAGCAUAACGACUUCUGUAAACAACACUCCUUCAUCCUUCCAGCCUUCUUCAAUUUCUCUCCCAAAGCUAGAGUGUUUGAAGCUACGCUAUCUACACCAGCUGAAGAGCAUAUACAAAGCCCCAAUAAGCUGCGAUUCCAUGAAAAGAUUGAAAGUGUACGGAUGCCCAGAACUGAAGAGGAUUCCUUUGCAACUGCCACUGCGUGAAAUUGAGGGAGCUUCCGCAUAUUUAUGAUGGAAGAUGAGGAAAAGUGGAAGACGGCUGAUGUGGGGAUCAUCCCGGAUGCUCAGGCUAUUCUUUCAACCUUAUCUCCAAAAAGGGUCAAAUGCUAUAGGUUAAUGAGUUUAAUUGGAUAUACGAUUGCUUCACUUCUUUAAAAGUCCUUUCAAAGAUAUAGCUUUUCUGUCUAUAUAGUCAUGCAGCUCUAAUAGUGGCCUUCUGUAGUACUGAACACC
rnacentral:lncRNA from 1 species